rnacentral:lncRNA from 1 species
UCUUCAUAUCACAAAAAAUUAUUACCCUUCAAAAAAUUUUCCUUAGAUUGUCACGAUUAGUACGAGAUAUGAAGCAACAACAUGAAUUCAAAAAGGUUUGUGUGAGAAAAAAAGCUAAAUUUACAUCUUCAGAAUUCAAAUAGUUUUGGAUAUUUUGGUUCUUUCUUCAUUUUGGAGCAUGAAUGAUGUCAAAGUGAGUUAAAGGAUAGAAAGUGAUUGUUGCGGUUACCAAGCCAUGACACUGACGCAGUGUAAAAAGAAAAAGAGUACCUGCACAAUAUCUUCUCCAGCUAAAAGUUGAACCUUCUGGGGUACCAUUUUACUGCUCUUGUCACUAUCACCAAACCCAAGCCUGCCAUGUUCUCCCCUUCCCCAGCCAUAUACCUGAAAUAAUGUCAAGAAGAUAAAAUUAUAGCCAAAUCACUUGAAAAAUAUUAACAGAAACCAAAAAACCAGACAGAUGGAAAUAAAGUGGUACUAUUAAAUAUCAAAUAUUAACAAAGAAAAUAAAGGACACAACUGAAAGGUAUGGCCCCUCUUAGUCCUUUACAACAUAGAACCUAUAAUUCCAUGGAGAAUGACCAGUUGCAUCAAUGGGCUUGCGAUUUGGAAGAAGAGGUACAAGGGACAAAGUUUCAUUCAUCUGUAAAGCUGCAAACUCAGUUAAAGCUUGCUUAAUAAACCUAGGUGCUUAUGAGUAAGAAUAAACCGGGGUGAAUGUGAUGCAUAACAAGGCCCAAUGUGGAAUGGAUAAGAUGAAUAUCAUGCGAAUUGUUAGGAGGAGAGUACAACUGACUUGAGGAACUGUAACUAGUGAGGCAAGAAAAGCAAACGGGUUUGCUGGUAACCCUAUCUUCUAUAUAAUCACAUAAGAUUUGUCCUUUGGAAUGGUGUCACUGGCCUGAUUUGCAUAAAGCUAACUUGACAAAGAUCUAAACACAUGGAUGAAUUUCCUCUAGCUUCUCGUAAGGUUAUGAGAGGUCCCUCCCACUAUUUGGAUUGGAAAGAGCUAGGAAGCUCCUAGACUAUGGGGAAGGCAAAAGGAAAUGUGGGAAAUUGUUGUUGGUUUGCAACAAAAAUUAAAUAAGAAACCAAGCCUUAAUAUGGAGGAGGAAAGGGCAAAAGCUGGUGAGAAAAGAAAAAAUAGUGAGUCGAGCAACAACCCUAGUGAUAGAAAUAUUUUUAAAAAUAGAGUUAGUACACAAGCUACCAACAUGUUUAAGAAAGGUUUGAGAGAGGAAGCAUGUCAAGCAAUUGACAGGUUCUUCUAUAACAACAUUGUACCUUUCAAUGUGACAAAGAGUGAAGAAUUUAGUGCUAUGUUUGAUUUGGUUCCAAGACAUGACCUUGGAUUUAAACCUCCAUCUUAUCAUGAGAUUAAAGUCAAAUAUUUGAAGGAGGAAGUUACAAAUACAUCACUUGCUUUACAAGUACAUAGGGAUGAAUGGAAGAAAACGGGAUGUAAGAUUAUGAUUGAUGGUUGGACUGAUAAGAAAAGAAGGAAAAUAAUAAACUUCUUGGUGAAGAGCACAAAGGGAACUGUAUUUCUAAAGUCCAUAAAUGCAUCUUCUAUAUCUAAAAUAGCUGAGAAAGUUUUUUAAAUGAUAAAUAACAUUGUUGAAGAGGUGGGAGAAGACAAUGUCAUUCAUGUUGUGACUGAUAAUGCAGCAAAUAUAAAGUUGUUGGUCAAAUGUUGAUGGCAAAGAGGAAAAGGCUCUGUAAUAUAUUUAAGGGACGACAAAAAACUAACUCAAUGUAAUAUAUUUUGGUUAAUUAUUUGCCUUUGUGGAACAUCAUUGAUGAAAGGUGGCACAAGCAAUUCUAUGGCCUGCAGGUUAUUUUCUUAACCCUCAAAUGCAUUGUCGUCCCUUAAAUCAAAUUUGGAAGUGAAACGAGGUCUAAUGGAAUGUAUAACUAGGAUGGUGGAGGAUGAGGAUGAACAAACUCUCAUUGAUGUUCAAAUUGAUGAUUUCAAAAAACAAGAAAAAGAAUUUGGUUGUCCCUUGGGUACUAAGUCAAUUAAUUUAAAGACUCCAUCAGAUUGGUGGGAGUCUUAUGGUGAUGUGUAUCCAGAACUCCAAAAAUUUGCCAUUCUUGUCUUGAGCUUGACAUCUAGCUCCUUCGGAUGUGAGCAUAAUUGGAGUUCCUUUGAGAUGGUAAGUUAAUGUUCAAAUAUAUCUCUAGAAUAAAAUUAGGAAUCUACUAGUCCACUACUUGUUUACCAUAUUUGUCUUGGAAUUUGUGUAUGUCCACACAAAGAGAAGAAAUAGGCUAAAGCAAAGCACAACGAAUGAUGUUGUUUUUGUUAUGGCUAAUUCAAAAUUAGCUAAGAAGAAACAAACAAGAAAACCGACUCAAAUUAAUAUUGAUGAUUGUUCAUCCAAUGAAGAGUAGUUAUGGAAGAUGAGCAUGAGCAUAGUGAAGCAUUGGAUUCGGAUGAAAAAACUUGGUUCCAGUCAAAGUUGGGGAGGAUGAAACUUAACAUAGUCAUGAUUUACACAUGACUGAUUUGAAUGGUGAAGGAGAUAAAAAUGAUGAUGGAGUUGAAUAUGAAUUUAACUUACUAGAUUAUUUUUUUUAGAUGGAUUAUUAUUUUCUCAUAGUUUUGUAACUAGUAAAGAGUUACUCCUAUUAUAAGAUGUGGUGUUCACACCUAAUUACGUACUCUUUUAUAUAUUAUGAGAUUCAAUUAUGAACUUUGAGUGCAAUAUAAUAAUUUAUAGUGUAUAUAAAUUUUCAUAUUUCUCUUUCCAAUCUUCAGUAAGAUCUUGAUUUUGACUACCAUGCAUAGAUCAUCUAAAUUGCUUCUAUUGAAAAACCAAAAAAGUGUAACAAGCAGCUUACUUUAAUGAAAAAGCUGUUUUCAAAAACAACAAUUUAUAAAUGGUUUUCUACUAUAACAGCUACUUUCAGAAGAAACAGAAAAAUACAAAAUUUAAACAUAUACAGUUAAAUGUAGACUUCAAAUAUUUUAAAAGGAUAUCUUCACAUUAAAAUUUAGAACCAAUAGAUUCUACACACAAAAAAGGAGUACCUCUCCUUCAUCGGUCAAUGCAGUAGAAUGCCAUCCACCAGCUGCAAUAUCAACCUAGAGUUCCAAACAGAUUUAAUAAAAGAAAUUAGAUAUUUAAACUAUAAUCAAAGAUUGACAGUUUGUAGGGUACAGAUACAUAGCAAUCCUCAAUCCCUAUCGCACACCCAAAUAUAACCCCAAUAAAGCCAAUGUUAAAGAGAAAGAAUGCCACUGGAAGCAAGGAGCUAUACCAGCAAGUUGGUAAAAUGGAAAUAAAUGAAAAAUAAAAUGAAAAUUAAAGGUGCUUGGUUGAAGACAAAUAGAGAAGAUAUGACUAAAGAGAUAGAGAGAUGAGUAAAGAUAGUGAGAAAUAGUACAUUGGAUCCCACCAAAUUUAAAAUAUUUUUCCUCGCUUCUUCCCCGCCAACCCAGUUAUAUUAAUUCUAUCUUCUUUCAUCUUAUGAAUUUCUUCAAUACCAAACAAAGGCUAAUCAUUUACAAUAUAUAUCUAGCAUUCUACCUACAUGCAUAAAUUUAAUAAUAUUUGCUUCUGCACCAAAACAGCACAUGAUCACUCUCACACACACACAUGUUAUAACACUAACAUAUGGCUGCAUUCUAAACCAUAUAUCUGAUUCUAAAUCACACAAGUUUAUAAAGAGGAAUAUUCAGAUAUCACCCUAAAAUUUGUCUUAGUAAUUAAGGAUCUAUUUGGUUUGAGAUAUAGGUUUCUUUUCAUUUCCUAUGUCCAGGAAUCAUAACAAAAAAUCAUAUUGUUUUCACUUUAGUUCUUGUUUUACACGUAUAGUGUAUAGGUAAUGGUGAAAACUAAUUCUUUUGUUCUAUUUAUUAUACAAAUCUUUAAAAGCAAAAGUAAGUCUGAAUAUGAAAUGUGAUAUUUUAUAAUUAUCUGCCAAAACAAAAAAUAUUUUCUCAAUUCAAAUAGCAUAAUACACAUUUAUAUUGUUGUCACUUUGUUGACGUGAAACUAGAUAGAGGAUGAGGAAAUAAAUUGGACAGCACAACUCAUUAGAAGGAUAAAUUUACAUUAUUGAGUAUAUAUUAUACCACAUUUAAAAACUACAAGGAAAAUUAGGCAAGCCAUCUCAGUCUCAUGGUUGUCCUAUAACUCAUUUCCUCUUGGCCAAUGGUAGCUUACGAAGCACUACAAAAGGUAUGACAUAGUGAUCCUUUUGUUAACCUUUGUAAAACAAAAUUGACAAAGGAAAAAUGAAAACAAAAUGGGCAUAAGAGGCUAUAUGCACACAGUUAUAUUCAAUGUUGAAGAACUCAAGGAAAAUAAAAGGAUCAGAAGGGGGAUAAAAGAUCCUCAAACUUGACUUGUAAGAGUUACGAGGAUAUGAAAAACUCUAUUUACAGACCUGUGCAUGCAUUAAAAAUAAUAUAGACAACUAAAACAGGUUCCCAUGUCCUAAAACUACUCCUAAUAACUAACAAAUGGCAGCAAGAACAGAACAAGAUAUUACUAAGAAAAAUUAUAGAACAGAACAUAGUUGAAGAUGAAGCCAACAACUGAUGAUGACAUUCUUGUUUUCAUGUGUCAAAGAGAAGACAUGUAAUUUCUUCAUUAUUAUGAAGCUCACAUAGCUUUCUAUGAAAAAAACUCCAGAUAAACUACUUUACUUCCUUUUGUUGGGGCAGCACAAAAAAUCAACCCAUUGUAUCACUUGCUACUUGCUAUAAAAUUUAAGAGUGAGUUCCAAAAAUAAUCUUGAAAUGUCAUAUUCUUGGUUUAUACAGAAAUAUGCAUCACUUUGUACACAUACCAAAAUAUAUCAUUUAUUCAGUCUGCUGACACAGAAGCUGAAAAUAACAAGAUGAUUCCAGAUAAUGAUAUACAAACCAGAGUAAGAUCAGAAAGUCCUUGGACAGGAAUGGGUUGUGAUCUUGGCUGAGUAUCUCCAGUUCCAAGUUGUCCAUAUUCAUUAUUUCCCCAUGCCCAUAAAGUUCCAUCCUCUUGAAAAGCCAAAUUAUGAAAUGCUCCAACAGCAAUGAGCCUCACACUUUCAAGACCUUGAACCCGAACAGGAACUGAAAUCUGUUUUCUGUAAGAUAAAGCAAAAAUAAUUUAGAAGUUAGCAAAAAGUAGAAACUGUUGUUUACUAAAAAUGAAGAAAAACAGCUGAACAAGUAAAUUAAGUUCAUCUUAAGAUAAUAGUAGCAUAGUCUUGUAAAGAAAAUGAAAAGAAAAACACUGGAUCAAGCUAGAUAAUUUUUUUGGUAGAAGAAAACAUGCCAAAUUUUUUUGUGUAAAGUGCCAUCUUUGCUAGAAUUUGAAGCAUUUGUUUGGAGCAGAAUUCUAGUGUUGGAAGCUUCUAGUUGGUAUGGUAUCAAAACCUAUAAUUCAUCUUCAUACCUCAACUCUUUGAGUGCAAAUUAUAUAUCUAUUGAGAACCUUCACUUAAUGUCAAUUGGUUUUAAGAUGAGAUCUGGCAAUUUUAACUUUUUUCAUGAUUGUUUUCUGUUUUGUUCUUUGAAUAGGAGGAUUCUUUAUCGUGCUUUUUUCUUUGCAAUUCAUUCCCUUCAUCUCAAUAAAUUUAUUAUUUUAUUCUAAAAUGAAAAUUACAUGUCACCAGGCGGCCAUGGCUGACCCCAUGUCCAAACAUGACCUUCACGUGUAAGUACUACUGAGUGAGUUCCUCCUGCAGCAACCUACACCCCAAUCAAAUUAGAAAAACAUUAAAGAAAGCAAAACCCAUGCCAUCCUGCAAUGAUGCAUUUGUUACAAUAGAGAUGUAGAAGUAGCUAUACAAACUCAAACACUUAGAAAGCCUUUAUUGCACAAUUACUUUACAGAAAAAAAUCAAAUUCAAUUUAUUGAGCAGGACUACGGGGAUUAAGGUCAUAACAAAAAAUUAUAAUCAGACGUCAUUCAGAUUCACCACAUACACAACAAACUAAAAUGAACAAUUAAAACUGUCUGGAGCUAUAAAUGAUUUUUUCCUUGUCAAAUCAUCACCAAAAAGUCAAGGUGAUAGACUUACUCUCGCUAAGAGCAAAGCACAUGUCACAAAUGUUGUAAAUAGCAGAUUAUUAAGGAAAAAAAUAUUCUCAAUAUCUCCAUAGUAAUUAGGAAAAAAUAUAUUCAGAAACUUCCUAUUUAUUUCAGCAUAUUUUUAUUUCCUCUUUUAAGGGUUUUGGAUAUUACAGAUAGAGAUUACAAGAAUAAAACUGGUGCAAUUGAUAUCAAUAAAAUAAUUCUUUAGUUUUCAACCAAAAAUUUAACCUUAAAAAUUACUGGAAUUAAGCAUUUAAAAUAAAAUUUAAGAAUAGGUCAACUAUAACAAUUUUAUGUUUACCAGUGUAUUGCUUAUUGGAACAUAGGCCAUUUUAGUUUGAACAAGUCUCACAGGGCCUUGCAUGGACAAGAAACAAAAGAAAAUCUCAGAUGUAUCCUUUGCUUUCCAACAUAUCAGAAGCUGUAAUUUGAUCUUCACUUAAAAGAUAUGUAGAAAUACAGUAUCUAUUUUCUUUCUCUGUGGUAAGGUUAACUAGUAAGCAUUGAGCAAAAGCAACUUAAAAAUGUCUGAUAUUCUACUAAGAUUACAUGGGAAUUGUACAAUAAUAACAACAAAAUUACAAGAACUUAAAGCUACCAUAAUGUUCUGUCAUAGACAAAAUAUUGACAGUGUCACUCACAUCUAACUCCUUUGUUCAUGAAUUCACUUAGAGUUCAAAAGGAUGAUGACAGGUAGAUGAAAACUUGCAUAGGAAUUACAGCGACAUAAAAAACUAAUGAAUUUAAGAAAAUAAAUGUACAUCUAACACUAAAGAUUGGCACAAAAACAAAGGCAAAUCACUUUUGUUCCACCAUAGCAUGCAACGCAUUGGAAUACAUAAAUUACCUGCCGAACAACAAGCUUAGGAGCACAGCGUUGAGGGAUCUCUAUAUCUCUCCUUAAAGGUCUAUCCUUGCGCUCAGGUUCUUCACCACACUGCCCAUAUUCAUUUCCACCUGAAAUAAAUUAUGCUAGCUCUUAGAAGUCGUAUAAUAUAUAUAUGCAUAUACACACACACACACAUCAACACUCUUUGAGAAUUUUGGAGCUCUAAAAGGGAAAAAGAAUAUGACAUUUCAUCCAACAUCAAAUUUUUAGUUAUGAAGUAUGUAGUACAGGUACACAAUCCGUGUAAGUAUGCAGUUUGUCACUUUUUACAUUACUAUUAUGAGACUUCCUCUAAAAAGAAUCUGGUAAGCAGUAACUCAGUAACUAUAUUAUGACAUGGUUAUUUAGUAUUAUGAGAUGGUUAUUUUGUCCAAAGAGUCAUUCAAGUAAAAAGUGGUCGGAACAGCAUAAGGUUUAAAAAGGAAUGAAAGGAAAGCAUAUGGCAAUCGAAGUGGAAAACGAGAAGACACUUCACGCAAAAUUAUUUUUGAAGCGAUAUGAUUUUAGUUUGGAUGAUUUUAUAAUAAAAACAAGUUAAUAGUCAAACUAAGUAUAAAAUUUCUAUCCAACACAAAUCCUAUCUAAAUUUGCAUUAAUUCGGAAUCAAUCCCUCAGCAUGAGAUCAAACAAGUGAAGAUUUAAUUUGCUUCUAGAAAAUCUAACAUGAAACUAAACGGACACUUAGUAUGCUUAAUGACGUUGCCACUUUGGACAAUGCUAAUUCUACUAAUCACAAUAAUAAUAAUGAUGGUGAUGAUGAUGAUGAUGAUAAAAAUAAUAAUAAGAACAACGUGAUGGAGAAAUAGAAGCAAAAAGGAUUUAUGGUGUGGAAUGAAUAAUAGUAUAAUACCCCAGGCAUAAGCUCUGCCCUGAUCAUCAACAGCCAAGCAGUGCCACCCCCCAAUAGCCGCCUAACAACCACAAGCUAUUCACUAUCAAUACUCACAUAAUAAGUACACCAUCAAAAAAGAAUAGCAAGGGUAUAAUAAGCAUGAUAAUCAAGAAUUGAAGAAAAGAAAAGAGAAUGAACAAGAUGGAAGGAUGUAUACCUGGACAAUCUUAACACUGGAAAGAUCCUUGACUUGGCUGGGAAUGUUCUCAAUCUUGUUCUCGGACUUGUUCUCAGCUGGGUGCCCAAGUGUGCCCCUUUGGUUCCAACCCCAAGUGAACAACUACAUCACAAGUAACCACCACCCCACCAAAAAAGAUGAGUUUUUGAACGAUACCCACGAUUUAUAAGAACGAAAAGAGAAAGAUACAGAGAGAGAGAGAGAGGUUAAGAUACUUUGCCGUCGUCACCGAUGGCGAGGGAGUUUCUGCUGCCGGCGACGAUGGAGCGGAAACGUUGAGGUUCGAGAGCUUCGACGAGAGAGACCCAUUCUUUCUCUUCGUUGUUGCCGAUUCCUAGUUGACCAUCUUCACCAGAGCCCCUGAAUGAAAAGAAUCAAUCACAGAUGGUCCUUUAAACGAGACAAGAAAAAGAAAGAAAAAAUGGUUAUACAGAAAGAGAGAGCAGAAACCAUGCAAUAAUGCGGGAAUGGGAAUCCAUGAAGGUUAGAGUAGAGUAAGAGAGCAGAGUGAGAGAGACAACAGAGAGUGCCGAAGAAAAUGAAAGGAAGAUUAUCACAAACACUUUGCGUGCGUGGAGCUUACGAGUUAGUGUUUCUGAACACCUUUUCAAAAUGCAAUCACUCUACAAAUUCCAUUACCCAACAAGAAUAAAUAAACCAUUAAUAAACCCAAAGGAAAUUAUAUAACCACUUUACUAAACGUGAAUAUUUAUCAAUUAUAUAUUUGAAUUUACAAAAGAAAAAUAUAAAAAAAAUGGAACUAUGUUUGCAACAUAAAAAAUAAAAAGUUUGAAAUAAAGACGGAAACAUCAGUCUUUAAAAUUAUGGAAAAAAAUAUAUUUAAUACAAAAAAUAUAAAUUAAACUUAAUUUAUACUUAAGGCUAAUUAUUUUUAUAAAUUGUACAUGUUUUUAAAAAAAAAUUAAUUUAUGUAUAAAUUAUUUUACCUAAUAAAAAUAAUUUUUUUUUAUAAUCUUUGAGGAAAAACUAGUUUAAAUAUACCCUUAUGUAAUAUAUUUUGUUUUAGGAAUCAAAACGUGACUUUAAAUUUGAAGUUGAAUAUAAAUGAAAAGGUUGACAAAUAUUAAAAGAAUUUAUAAAAUUAUUAUUUUAAAACUUUAAAAUUUUAGUCAGAAAUAGUGUUAUAUAAUAUUCUAUAUGAAUUCGUUCUUUAGUAUUCGUGUUUCUUCGUCAAAUAUCUUAUAAUUGUAUUUAAAUACUUUUGUUGGAGACCAGAAGUUUCUUCUCUCUUUUUUUUCUUUUUGAAUCUUUAACAAUAUUCCUCAUCCUUGAACAUAAUUUUAUUUGUUUUUAGGAGAGAGAAAAAUAUAUGCACGUAUAAAACCUGUUAAAAUUUCUUCAUACAAAUGAGAGUGAGUAAUGAGAAUUUUUGUUUCAAAAGAACAAGUUGAAAGGGUGAUUUGUAAUUAGUUUUAGAUUAGGAAAAUAAAACAUUGGUAUCCAAAAUAAUCCAAAUAGUAAAGGAAGGUUGUUUUACUUUACAACUCAUAAGCUAUUCUACUUUACAAAUAUAUGCUAAUGUAAAAAGUAAAAUCUUUCAAUAAAGAAGUUUCAAACUUAUUCUUUCACGUGCUUCAAUUUCACCAAGAAGGGAACUACUAUCAUACCAAAUUUUUUGGGUCACAAAAGUACACCCCUAACUUCACCCUCAUUCACAACCAAUGGAAAACAAAUUGCCUUGUUUAAAAAAUAUGCUCAUGCUUUUAUAGAUUAAAUCAAUAGAGUAAAUUUGUGCUAUUACAUUAUUUAUUUUUUAUUUUGGAACUAGUGUAAAAUGGAACACAGUUGUAUAAUGGUAAUAUUUGAGUUGCAUAUAACAUGAGUUAUGCAAGAAAAAUCAGUGUAAUAUUAUAUUAAUAGUACCGAACAUUAAAAUUAAUUGUUGCAACAUAUUUUUGAAAUUUAAUACUUGCGAGGAGGAAACUAUUACAUCAAUUAAGUGGAAUAAUGGAUGUGAUAUGUAUUUUUUACUCUUCCAAAACAAUGUGUUUAAGUCUUUUUCUUUGUAUUUGGAAAGAUAUUACAUCAGUUAAGUGAAACAAACAACUGAUGUAAUAUAUACUUUUCUUACUUAUUCAAAACAACGUGUUUAAGUAAUUUUCUUCGUAUUCAGGAAAGCUAUUACAUCGAUUAAGUGGAACAACCGUUGUAAUAGAUAUGUCCCUCAACCUUUAUUUUGGUUAAUCAUGUUACUCCCCGUUAUUCACUGUGGAGACUUCCCUCGCUUAUUUUGUUUACCACUUCCAAUGUUUCAUUGUUACUGUUGUUGAACUCUAUUGAUGGUUACCACUGUUGAAUGUGAUGUUGCUUUGUACAUGGAGGUUACCAGUAUGGGAAGUGGAGGCUCGCGGUCACAAUAAUGUUAGAGUUGGAAGUUACCGUUGUUGAACGUGGUACUGUGUUGAACAUUCACUCCUCUAGUUCGUUCACAUUUUGUCUUUGGUCACACACUACACCCGUUUACACAUCACCAAAGCUUGCGUCAGUUUCCCCUUACUUAUUGGAAUCAAUGUUUGUAAAAUCGUUUCACUGCUACCGUGGUACUCCACCAAGAACACACUUUUUAGCCCCAAAACCAUUUUGUAAGGGGUGUCACUACUACCAACCAGCGUAGGGCGCCACUGCUACAUUUGCAACCACUGUGAGGGCAUGUCGCUGCAUUACAUUUUUUUAUAUAUAUUUUAAUAAUGUUAAAUAUUAUAUUAAUAUUAAAAUUAGUAUUUCAAAAAAAUUAAAUUUAUAUUAGAAUUUAAAAUGAAUAUUGAAUUUAAAACUCAUACUUUUUUCAUUCUUUUUAUUGUAAUUUGACAUUGUUAAUUGUUAUAUGUUGAACGACUUGGUAUUGGGUAUGAGAUUGUAUUGUGUCUUUUGUUGUAUCGAGUGAACCUUAGUUUCUCGUUUGAGAUUCAAUAUAAAUAUUUAACACUAUCUCCAAUUUUUUAGUUAUUAAUAAGUUUUCUUUAGGUUAAAACAUAAAAGGAAGUAUGUACAUUGUCAAUCUGUCAUUAUGAGGCAAAAAAGAUAUUGUUUUCGAUGGGUAUGGAGUACUAGAAAAUACAUGCAUGUCUUAAUGAUAAAAAGAACCUUAGGUGGCAUGUAAAUGGAAGAAAAUGUGAGGAGUUGUUAUGACAUGUUUUCGAUUCAUCGUAAUGGAAGAAAAAUAAUUUUUUGUAUCUUGAGUUUGGGAGUGAUCCAAGAAAUAUUAGACUUGGUCUUGCAAUCGAUGGAAUGAAUCUUUGCGGUAACUUAAGUAGCAAACAUAAUUCAUGGCUCAUUUUGGUAAUUAUUUAUAAUAUGUCAUAUUGGUGUGUAUGAAGAGAAAAUAUAUGAUGUUAUCUAUGAUGAUGUUAGGACCAAGACAACCCGAAAAUGACAUAUUUGUUUAUCUAAGUCCAUUGAUAGAAGACCUGAGGUUUUUUAUGCAUAUCAAAAGGUGAAUUUCAAUUUGCGUACAUUAUUAUUUUGCACCAUUAAUUAUUUUCCAACAAAUGAAAAUUUGAGUGGUUACAAUGUUAAAUGAUAUCAUGCUUACUCGAUAUGUGAAGAGAACACAAGUUACCGUCAACUAAAACAUGGAAUGAAGACAUCUCACAUUGGGCAUCAAAGGUUUUUGAAACAUAAUCAGCCUUAUCGUAUGUUGAAAUGGAUUUCAAUGGAUGUCAAGAGGACAAAACUACAUCUUCGCCCCUGACUUGUGAGCAAGUGUUGUGCCAAGUUGAAGUGACUUUUGGGAAAAUACAGAAAAAGAGUAGUGUGAAAAAAUAUGGAAAAAGAAAUUGAUAUUCUUUGAACUCUCACAUUGGUCCAAGUUAGAUGUUAGACAUUGCGUAGAUGUAAUGCAUGUGGAAAAGAAUAUUUGUGAUAGUAUAAUUGGGACGUUACAAAACAUUAGAGGAAAGAUGAAGGACGAUAUAAAUGCUCGUAAAGAUCUGGUUGAGAUGGGUGUUUGUUUGGAGAUACAACCACAACGUUAUGGUAAACAAACAUAUUUUCCUCUAGCAUGUCAUACUUUGUCAAAUUUUGAAAAGAUAAGUUUUUGUAGGUGCCUAAGGGAGUUAAAAUACCAUAAGGAUACUCUUCAAAUAUUAAGAACCUUGUGUCAAAGGAAGAUUUGAAAAUUCUAGGCUUAAAAUCUUAUUAUUGUCAUGUUCUCAUGCAAGAUCUUCCCCUAGUAGCUACUCAUGGAAUUUUACCAAAAAUUAGUAAACAAGUCAUCAUUCGCCUUUACAUAUUCUUCAAUGCUAUUUGUAGGAAAGUAAUUGAUCCUAAUAGGUUGGAAGACUUAGAAAAUGAAGUUGUCAUUAUCUUGUGUCAACUAGAGAUGUAUUUUCUUCCUUAUUUUUUGACAUCAUGGUCCAUUUAAUAAUUUAUUUAGUGAGGGAAAUUAGAAUAUGUAAUCCUAUUUUUUUCGAUCGAUAUCCAGUUGAGUGAUGCAUGAAGAUAUCAAAAGGGUAUGUGAAGAAUCCGUAUCAUCCAGAAGCAUCUAUUGUUGAGAGAUACAUUGUUGAGGAAGCAAUUGAGUUUCGUGCAACGUAUAUGUUAGAAGUAGAAGUCGUAGGUGUUUCGAAGUCUUGGUAUGAAGAAAGGAAUGAAGGUAAAGACACACGAGGUGUAAGGGUGGUUCAAAAAGAUCAACAUGAAAUUCUACUAGCACAUUUGUAUAUAUUGAACAAUAAUAAUGAUGUUUUUUCUUACAUAGAUGCACAAAAAAUGUUGUUGAAGUUAAUGAACCCUCGUGCAAAUGAAAAAUUAUUUUUGUCUGAGCAUAAUAAGACCUUUUUGAAAUGGUUUAAAGAUAAAUUGGUCAAAAAGAUUGUGAUGUUGAGGAAUUGAAAUAGUUAGCACAACAACCUAACUUUGAUGUCAUAAUAUGGAUUGGAUAUAAUACUAAUAUAUUGUAUUUUAUACAAAGACUGGAGAUGAAAAGAGUAUUAUGCAAAAUAGUGGUGUUACCCUGGAGGCAAAGUCUAUGUAGUUUUCUAGUUUGAAAGAUAACAUUCAUGUGAUGACUAUUGUAAGUUAUUUUGGAGUCAUUGAAGAAAUUUGGGGGGUUAACUAUGCCAAAUUUAGAGUGUUUGUAUUUAAGUGUAAAUAAGUUUAUUGUGACACAAAAAUGCAUGUUGAUUACUUGAGUUUUACUUUGGGUAAUCUUACAAAGGUAGCUUAUAAGGAAGAUCAUUUCAUCAUGUUACCAAGCAAAACAAGUAUUUUACAUGAAAGAUCCUUCUCAUCAAAUGUGGUCAGUUGUCCUCCAGGGAAGAAUUUAACAUGAUCUUCAUCACCAUGAUGACUCAAGAGUUCAAUCUAUAGAUAAUCCUUCAUUCUCAAGAUGAAUACCUCAUCUGAAUGAGGAAAAUGAUGUUGAUGAAGUACAUGUUACACGUAAUUAUCACAAUUGAUAGCAUCUUUUUCUUCUAGCAUUGUUUUGUUUUGAAUUUUGAAUGGAGUUGUGGAAGCUUACUAGAAAUGGAAGAACAGAAAUAUGUGUUUGAAGUGGAGAAAUGGGUUUGGGAGAAUGAGAGGUGAGGCCAACUCAUUGGGAAAUAGUAUAGGGUUAGCUACAAAGGAGACUACUUUAGAGAGAGAUCAAGAACAAAUGUUUAUGGUAAAAAAAUGCGCAACAUAAUUUUUCUCAUUCAAGCUUAAUUUUAUAAGAGUUGAGCGUAUUUAUUUAUAUGGCCUUAAACGAGAGAGGGGGGGGGUGAAUUGUUUAAGAAAGAUUUUCAGAAAAUUUUAAGCCUAGAAUGAAAAUACUUCAAGAAAACCUUGAUUAAGAAAUCAGUUUUUCAAAACAUAAAGCAAAAGCACAAUACUGGAAAAACAAUCGGUUGUUUUACCGAAACAAUCAGUUGUUUAUACCAGUUAUUAAUUGACAAAACUGAAUUUAAAGAGAUAGGGAUAGAGAAAUUGUACACAGUUGUUUAUACUGGUUCACUCCAAACCAGAGCUACAUCCAGUCUUCUCAGAAACCCUAAACCCUAAACCCUAAACCACUAAGCAAUCACACCUUGAUCACUUACACAACAACCAAGAGAAUGAUCUUGAACACCUCAAGAAACACACUCUCCUUGGUCAACACACCAACACUAAGAUUGUUGAUCUUGAUCCCCUCAAGAACACACAGCCAAUCUCAGCAAACACAGAAACGAAUACUUGUUCAACAGAGUACAAGGAUUACACUUGUUACAGAAGAUAAUCUGAAAUCAAUACAAGCAGAAUCCUAUUUCAUACACUUUGAUCAAUCACAAACUCUUAGCAAUCUCAGCUCUUUGAAAAAUUCAAAAACAAACUCUUAGGAAAAACUUUGUCAAAGAUUCUUAAAUCUCAAAUCUGUUUUUCUGAAUUUAUUCAAAGAUGUAGGUUGUUAUCAAAUCUUAACAAACUCUUAAAUUGCAUUAAAAGAUUGGUCAAAGCAUUUAAUGACUGGAGCGUAAGCAGUUAAAUCAUUUAAAGCUCAGUCAAAGAUAAAACAGUUUUUCUGUUAUGGUCCCAAAACAAACAAUCGGUUGUUUCCUCGAAUCAAUCGGUUGUUUUGGUACUUAACAAUUCAACCAUUUUAAGAACAGUUUUCAAUCUUUUCCUCAAAACACCUAAGUAUAAACAAUCAUUUGUUUCGAUAAAACAAUCGGUUGUUUUAACUUAGUUUGAAAACAUUUUACUUUCACAAAGAUUGAGAAUGCUAAUUGAUAGAGAUCAAGUUCAAGACCAAAUGGAGGCCAAUACUCAAGGACAAGAAGAGCAAGAGGCUCAAGUGCUAGACGCUCAUGGAGUUGGUAGCCCACCUCAAAGGCUUACAAGAAGUCAAUUCAAAGCAUUAGGAAAUAAUGGGAGGUUGUUCUCUCUUUUUGUAAUAUCUUUGUUUGAAGAUGCUUAGAGGGAAACAUAAGAAACCUCUUUUGUAAAAGCAUCUUUAGGUCUUUAGUUUAGGAAAAUAGUAGGAAGCUUGGGGGGUGUGAGCUUAGUAGAGGGGUGUAGGCGUAAUAGGGAGGUGCCAAACUAAGAGAGGAAGUCACACCUUCCUCAUGCUCUAGGAUUGGCGCCACUUUUAUGUCAUUUGGGGGGAAUUUUGAAUUUAAUUAGCUCUUCAUUUCAGCACCUCUUAGGCUAUAAAUAAAGGUGCUUACCUGUAAAAUUCAGAUUGGAAAUUAGUAAUAGAGAAACUCUACUCAAUUUGAGAGAGAAUUUGUGAGAGUUUGCUUCUCCUUCACCUUGUCUUAUCUUGAGUGCAUUUGGUUCUCUCAAGUGGUGGCACUAGCUCACUCAUCUUGGAGUCUUCAUCCUCUAAGUGGCGUGAUCAUCAAACCAAAGCAUCCAUCUCCAUAAGUUCUUCUUUCUUUCAUCUCCAUUGUCAUAUGAAUUCCUAAAACAUGUUUAGCUUCCUUUUUUGGUUCGGCAAUUCAUUCUAUUUUCCAGCUUGCUUCGGUUCUUAGUUCAUUGGUUGCUUAUAGUUGUUUCUUCUUCAAUUCUAGCUUAAUUGUUUGAUGCAUUUCUGUUCUUAUUCAUUUUGUUCGGUGCUUUUGCCUUUUUACACAAUUUGUUCGCUUCAAUUGGCAAUAGAUGGCUCCUCCAUAUGAGUUUGGUGUGAGGUGCAAGUCAUGGUGAGUUCUUGAAACAUAGAACCUUGAUCCAAUUCUAUUAUAAGUGCCUAAGCUAUCUCCAACUCAAGUUGAGUCCAUAGAAUGUCAAAGAAUCAUCUCUUCUUUGCUAGUGGAUUCAUAUCACUAAUGCUUUAGAUUUAAUCAAAGGGUGGAUUACAACAUAUAAACUACCCCAGAACUAAGCUAAACCAGCACAACAACAUCAAGCACAGCCAAGGCUUCAACAUCCUUCAAAGGGUUUGGAUUCUUCAAAACUUGAACACCACUUGGUUCAUCAACUAUUUCAUAUCACACUUUAUUGAAUCAUAUAAUGAAAUCCAUAAUUAGUAUGUAUUAUUUAUUUAUAGGAAAAGUGGAAGAAAGAUUAAGACAUCAAAUAGAAGAAUGUUACCCCCCACAUAUUGUCUCAGGGAGACUAUGAUUUGUUGGAAAAUAAACUAAUGGAAGAGAAGUUAAAGAGACAAAAAAAAUCAUCUUUCGUUGAGGAAGUUCUUUAUCCUCCAUCCCCUUCUAAUUAACAUGAGAAGUGGAAGUUAGCCAAAAACUAAAGCAAUGGAACAAAUGACAUCUCACAAAUCACUAUAGAUUGCCCAAUGUAAUGUAAGUUCAUAAUAAUGUCUUAUUUUUUUAGUUUUACAUGUAUUAUUAUGUAUUAUGAAGAUGACCAAGGAAGCAAAAGACAAAGCACAUGGUGAGCAAUCAUCUCAGCAAACAAUUCAAGACCCCACCAAGGAUCUCAUGGACCCAACCAGAGGAGAUGGACAUAAACCAGAGCACCAACUGUUCUUCCUUCUGGUCUUCUUAAAAGAUAUAAUAUGUUGUAAAUAAUUUAGCCUCACUUUAGGGUUCAAAAUAGCAAAGGUAGGCUAGAAUAAGGUACCUUUAGCAUAAUAGGGGGUGUAGUUAGCAUUUUAGCUUGUUCCUAGCCCUUUGAGAAGGGAUUUUGACCUAGUUUAUAUAAGGACAAUCCUAGGGUGCGGGUUUGACAGUCAAACCCUAAGGCUGCCCUUUUUGUAGUGUUUCCCAUCCUACCCUUCAUGGUUGUUCUCCAAGACUCCUUCACCUAUAAAUAGGAGGCCUACCUCAUUGUAUUUUACAAGUUGAAUUUGAAUGAAGUAAAGAAACUCUGCACAAAUUGUGUGAGCUCUUAAUGAGACUUAUGUCCUCUUAGGUUUGAGGUCUUAUCUUGAGUGAUUUGGGAAGCUCUCAAGUGGCAACCAACACUCUCAUCUUGGAGCACAUCACGGCGUGACAUUUAUCAUCCACCAUCAUAAGUUUUCUCAUUCCAUUUUCCUUCCAUUUUUCCAUUCCAUUUAUGUUUUUGUCUUUUAGUUCUCUUAUUUGUUGCUCUUGGGUUUCACUCAUAAUUAUGAGUAUGAUGCAUCAUUUGGGAGGCCAUAACUACCAUUGAUGUUUACCUUGUGCCCAUUUCAAUUCUGCAAUUGCAUCUCAUCCUCACCAUAUCUUGUUUUUCAUUUUUGCCUCUGUGAAGUGAACCUUCACACUUACUUAACCACUUGGUUAAGUUCGUGUACAGUGGGAAUCUUCCUUAGGUCCUCACCAUUAAUUGCUAAAAUCUCAAUCUUAAGUAAAAGUGUCACCAUAAAUGAAAACAUCUAAAAUCAACUCACAUCAUGCGUGCAGUGGAGGUAGCCGAGCGGAGCGAUGGCGUCGUACGUCAUAAUGGAGGCAAGGAAGGAGGAACCUGUGUGUGCGUGUUGGAUGAAAACCUAAUAUAAUUUAGGUCAUUUGUGUGUGACGAUGAGAAGACACCUCAAAUCUCAUCCUCUUCACAAUCUCAAACACCUCAAAUUAACCACAUGGCUGAACAAAUAAGAGAAAUGAAUAAUAAUGAAGGAAAAUUGUGAAUUCUCAGGGCAGAACAAUUGGAGAAUAUGCUAUGUAGUAAGGUGCAACAUAUUUUUCUAGCAUAGCAGUACCAGUUGCAACAAAAUCUUUGAAGAUGAAGCCAACAUUUUUUAGCAUGAAUAGUAGCCACCAGUUCACAAGAAUAGAUAAUAAGGACCCUUACACUCAUUUAUCCACUUUCUAUGAAUUGGUAGGAACCAUGGGAUUUGAAGAAGGUGACAUAGAAGCAGUAUAUUUAUGUUUAUUACUUUUUUCACUUGUUGGAAAAGCAAAAGAGUAGUUGAAGUCACAUCCAAAUUGGAGCUUGAGUAGUUGGAGUGAUGUGGAAGAGAAAUUUCUGAACAGGUUUUUUUGCUCCCUCGCUUUAUUAAAUCUAAAUUUGAUAUUUCCAUAUUCAGGAAAAGACCAAAUGAACCUUUCUAUGAAGCAUAGGAGCAAUUCAAAAUGAUGCUAAAAGAAUGCCCAAAUCAUGGAUUUAAGGAUAUAGCCCAACUCAGUAUUUUACAUAAUGGUCUAACAAACAACUAUUGAAAACCUUUAAGAAGAGGGUAGUUCAACCCUUGACAAUAUGAGAUCAACCCAACAACUUAGUAAUGAAAAGGAGUUACCAAGUACACAACUAAAGCAAUCACAAAUGAAGUUUCAACACUAAUACAUAACCCUUUAAGUCUUUGAGAAAACCAAGAAAGUUGUAAGAUUUCUUGAAAAUUUCUUAGAUGCACUCUUGGAACAAUGUGAAAAAAAAAACUCAAUUCUAUCACUCUAAAAGUUUUAUAUUGAGUUUGUAAUGUUUGAUAAAAAAAGUUAUCUUACUUUCAAUAAAAUGUUCAAUUUAUAAAGUUUUUGAAAAGUUGUUUAAAAAUUAAUUCAAAUACAUUCAAUCAAUUAUCUUAAGUAGUUAGUGAUUAUUCUUAAAAAAAAAGGUAAAUUUUGGUGAAAAAUGCUUUCUAUUUUAAUUGAUGAUGUUACCAAUUAAUCAAUUAUUUUGUUCUUCAUUGUUUCUGGAAAAACUUAAAAACAUAUUGAUAUAUUAUUAAGCUUGUUAAUCGAUUAUUUUAAGAGACAAAUUAAAAACACAAUUGGUUGUGCUCUAUUUUAAUUCAUUAUCAAAACUGAUAAUCAUUUAUUAUCUUAUGGAAAUGUGUUAAGAACAAAUUAAUAAAUUAUAUAAAAGCUUAAUCGAUUAACUUUUUUAGAACUUUUUCAAAACUUUUUCACGUUUCCAAAACAUGUUUUAUGAUUAAGAUUAUGUAUUAACAUGAAGCAUUUGUGAUUUGUCUUGUGUGCAAGACUAAAAAAUACAUGCUAUGAAAUUUAUAACAUUAUCAUCAAAACCAAGUUCUAUAAACUCUUAUAACCUAUUGAAUUAAUGAGAGGCUAAGUUCAAGAUGGAGUGAAUUGUACUUAGGUAAAUUUUUGUAAAAGUUGAUUUAGUCAAUCCUGACAUAAAAUCAAUUAAUUGUUUUUUGCAAAAGCUAUUGGUUCGUGCGGGCUAUGGAUUAUGCAGGGUGGACUUAAGCGAGUCAGCGGGUUAGAUUAAUGAGCAUGCCCCACGCUUUUAGGCAACGGUUGCGAGCCAAUCCACAUGACCUGUCCCGCAUUGCCAUCUCUAUUAAUAGAGACUAAUUUAGAAUAUAAAGUAAUUAAUAGCUAAAACCUUAGGAGAUACUCAUUUAGAAACUACUUUAUAAAUUUUUAUUAAUAAUAGAAACUACUUUAGAUACCAAUAAUUUGUUUUUAAUUUAAAAAAGAAUCUCUAGUUUAGUUAAUAUAGUAAUAAUUUAUUUUGAUUAUUUAAUAAUUUUUUUACUGUAUAUAAAUUGAAUUUAUGUUUUUGAAUAAAUAUAUAUAAUUAUUUAAAUAUAAUUUCAAACUUUUUAAAAAUAAUUAAAUUUUCAUUAAACUCUUUACUCCUUUUAUUUAUUUUUUAAGUGAUAUAUUUAUUUGGAGAAGUCAUUUUAUUUAAAGGAAUUAAUCUAAUAAAUGUUAAUUUAAUUUAAUUUUUAUUUACUUUUGGAAAUAUAACUUUUUUUUAUUUUUUAUUUAAAUUACUAUUACAUCGAGUUUUUUUUAUCAUUUUUAUUAUGUUUAAUUUUCACAUAGCAUCAUGUAAUUAAAUAUUAAUAGCUUAAUUUGUAAUAUUUAAUUUUUUAAAAUUUAAAUUAUAUAUAAAAGUAAUCCAAUAAAUAUUAAAAAAUAGUUUAUCUAUAAAAUUGAAAAUAUGUAAUAAUAGAUAAAAAAAAUUAAAAUAAUAAAGAAAUACAUUAAAAUAUACAAGAUAUAAUCUAAAGUAGUAAUAAGUAAAAGAAUUAAAAAUAAUAAAAAUGAUUAAAAUAUAUAAUAUAGAUACCUUAAGUUACUUAUAUCUUAGCAAAAAAAUAAAAAUAAAAAAGGCAUUAAAAUAUAUAAGAUACAUAGUUGAAGUAACUUGUAUUUUAUAAAGUUAUCAUUCUAUAAUGUCUUAACUUGCUUCUUCUAGUUAAUAUUAUUUAAAUUUAAUUUUUUUUAUUAUAAAUGAAUAAUAUUAUUUUAUUAGUUUUUAAAUUGUUAUACUUAUAUAAUAGAAGUUUUAGAUUUUUCUAUUAAAAUAAAAAUAAAUUUAAAAUAAAAUAAAACAUGUUUAAAACAUAGGUAUAAUAUGUUUCAAUUUUUCUUAAUUAUUAUAUAAUUUUUUUUUAAAAUAAUGGAGACAAAGAGUAGGUUAAUGAAUAUAAAAAUAUGAAGGGUAGAAGAAGUAAACAUCAUAUCAUUAUAAAAUCUGAUCUCAUCAUUAAUAGUUAUAAAUUAUAUCACUGAUUACAUCAUUUGAAACCAUAAUCAAGAUAACUUAUAACAUUAAGUUGUAAACACCCCUUGAGACAAUAUUAAAAAUGACUUAUACAUUUAUACAUUACACUAAUUCUUUAAUGGUUUGAGAGAAAUAUUUGUGUGCAUACUAUUAUUGAUGUUAUAAAGUUCAAAGAAAAUAUAUUAUUCACUUAUCUGAAAACAUUUAAGACAAAAUUAGUGUAAUUUACUUUGGAAUAUAGUAUAUAUAAGUUUUUUUUUCCUACUAACUUUAUUACCUAAAAUUCUACCAAAAACCCUAUGUUUCUAUUUUUCUUUUCUCUUUAUCACUGAAAAACCAGUGUUCUAGUGUUCUCGAUGCUGCAACAGAGUAUUGUCCAGUGAGCCAACAAAUUUCUGCGGCAUAAUCUCAAUCUCAAUUUCAUUUUCAAACCUCAAUGGGUUACAUUCAAGACGCACGCGAGAAUCACGUUAAGAAGAAAGUGGAAGAAGGUACCACUUAUUUUUUCUUCUUCGUCUAUAAAUCCUAAACCCUAAAUGCACCCAUUACAAAAAAAAAGUGCUCAAAGUUAUGAUUUUGGAGGAAGAAACGAGAACCCUUUGAGUUAAUCAUGGGUUUAAUUCAAAUGGGUAGUUCUUAUACGAAUCCAAGACAGGGUCAUGGUUAAGAACAAUUUUUUUUAUAAUUGGUGAAAUUAAAGUGCUGUUGUAUCAUCAAAUCUGCAGCUUUGCGCAGCAAAAUGAAGCAGAAGGCACUGAAGGAGUGUGAUCGUUACACGGCAAAGUAUGCUGAAUGUGCUGCCGGGAAAACACUGUCACUUGUGUGGAGUUGUCGCCGACAAGCUAAAGAGUUGAAUGAUUGUCUUCAUCAAUUGUAAGCGCUGUUAUGAAAUGAAGCAAUUUUUUAUUUCUUUGAUUCAAUUCUUGGAAGUUGAUUUGAUUAGUAGACUAGUUGAAUGCAUUUGUUAUAGUGUUAAGUUAUUUUAGAUUGUCAUACCAUCAUGAAUUGUCGUUUUUUAUGUAUGUAGUGAAAAUUAUACCACAUGCAAAAUUCAUUGUUGCCUGUCCAUUUCAUUCUUGAUUCUCCAUUGUGUCUGUGCAUUUUUUUUCUGUUUCUCAGAAUUCUUGAUAUAAUUGUUGAAGCGAAGGUUUAAUUUUCUUAAUGCAGUUCAGUAGGGAUUAUGAGUCCUAGUUUUUAUUCAGUGAAUAUAUACCAAUUGAAAACUUAUCAGGAUAAGGGAUAAGUACAGGCGAAUUCAAAGGGACUUGACAAAGCGAGUUUUAGCCUGUUUUAGAAAGAGACAAAGUUUUAUUCCUCAUUUGCCUUUUCAAUUGUCCUGCUGCUUCCAUUAAUGAUUAUGAACACUACAUUGUUUGCAUUCUAUUUCUUGUAUUCAAAUAUUCUUAUGCUGUUUUCAAUGUAUCCUGUAUAAAUCAUUGAAAACAAGAAGCACAAUGAAAACAAGGUAUUUUGUAAUUAGUGAUGAAAGUUGAAACUAGAAAAUAGAACAGGAAAAGUUUUUGUAAGCCAAAUAGGCCUUAAAGUAAUACACAUUGCCCAUAUAUCUGGGUAAGUUUCUGCUGAAGUUGUGCUCACACAAUUCCUUUUCAGAGUAAACCCUUUUAUUGUGUUUGAAUGAAGAAUUUUUGGAGCAUAAUUCAUUUUUAUGGAGAAUUUGAAAUGUUGUGACAAACUAUGUUGUUUGGAUGGGGAAUUUAAGAAAUUGAAUUUCUAAAAAAUUAUUAGAGGAAUUUGGUUAGUUAAAAUUAUAGAAUUUCAAAUUUCAUCUACAAAGUAAGAAUUUGAAAUUCUUCAUACUCUUUCAUCUCUCACAUCUAUGCCUCUUCUCUUCAUACUUUUUACUUGUCUUGGCCUUGGUUGGAGUGUUGUUAUAUCAGCAUCAACUAGGGUAUUUUCGGCUCGGUCUCAAUCAGAACAUUGGCCACAUGGUCAAGGUUGGGAUGUUGUCGGCUUGAUGCAAUUUUUUUGUUUGGUGUCGAUGGGAGUUUCUUUUAGGCCACCAAAGUCAAUUAUAGUUAUUUUUUUCGGUGUUGACAUCGCCAAAGUUAUUUUAGCUGACAUUAUUAAGAAUUUUCUUGGUCAACAUCAAUGGUGUUUUAAUUUGAUUUCAAACACAAUUUAUUUUUUGUUGAAGUCAACUGAGAUUAUUUUCAGGGUUAUUUUUAGGCUCACAUCAUAAAAAUUAUUUUUUUGGCUAGCUUAGUUUGAGGUUAUUUGUAGACUGAUGCUCAUUAAAGGUUAAAGGUUUCUUAACUAAUGUUGAAAGGGCUAUUUUUUCAGCCGAUGCCAUCCAGAGUUAUUUUAUCAACGUUAGUAGGACUGUUUUUCAAACAAUGUAGGUCAUGUCUUUUUGGUUGAUGCUGACAAGAGGUUUAUUUUUUUACAUUGUUGGGAUUAUUUUUUCACUAAUGUAGGCCAGGGUUAUUUUUUAGCCGACAUUAGUUAGGAUAUUUUUGACCAAUGUUGUAGGGGUAUUUUUUGAUGUUAGCCAACAUUUUUUUGGUUCACAUCUAUUGGGUUUAUUUUUGUGUAAGGAUGGUUUCUUGACAUUUCUGUAUUUGGUAGUAAUUGAAAUACUUUAUCAAAACAAAAAAAAUUUAAAUUCAAUAAUUUUGAAUUGUCUUAUCCAAACAUAGCAUUUGAAUAAUGAAUCAAUUUGAAUUGAAAGAAAUUCAAAUUUAAUGUAUUUUAAUUUCCUUGAAAUUGUGAAAUUCUCUAUCUAAAUACAUGGUUAAGUUGGUCUUUUUAAAGUUUAUUUUCCAAAUUACCCCUCAAAGAUAUAAAUGUUACCGGUUUCAUUCUUUUGUAGGACUAAAGUGGGGACUUAAAAUAUUGAAUUUGGUUACAUCUUUAACAGACUACUUUGGUAAUCAAAUUCUUUGGAGUACUAAUGUAAUUAUACUCUAAUCUUUGUAGGAUCAAUUUAACGGUUUUGGUUUCUUAUCAAGUUUACUGAUACUUCAUAGAUGCUGAAAACUUGAUGACAUAUAUUCGUUUCUUGUCUUUUGUGCACAUUAUUCAUUAGAAACCUCCCUUUUCCUGAAUAAAUUCUGUUAAUUUGUACUUGCCCUUAUAUUUUCGUCAGCAUUGGAGAUCCAGAAAAGGAGAAACUUAUAUGUGUGUAAAAAGGAUGUUUUACUUUAGGCUUUAAUGUAUUCUUUUGUUACCAAUGUACAGUUGUAUUUGAAUACUAUGUGUUAGGAACCAAAAAUAGAAAUGGGAAAGAAAGGAAAGAGUAAAAGCUUGAUCCACAAAUGAUGACCUAAUAGAAUGAAUCCUCCCCCUUUAAUUCCCUUGUUUAUGUCUAAUAAAUUCCUAUAUCUAACUGAUUAACUACUCGAACUUUCUGUAUGGAAUUUUCCCUUCCCUUCUAUCUAACUCCUAACACUAAAUCCAAGUUGGAUUAGCUUGUAGCUUAUUAAAGCUUUUCAAGUGAGAUAAGUAAUUUAUUCCUAACUUAGAGAAAAGCCCUAAUAAGAGCAUGUUUAGGAUUAGGAAGGCUUUUUCCCUAAAAUAUAAGCUGUUUUGUAAAAAAGAAAUAUGUCUGUAAAUUUUGUAAAAAGAUUUUAUUUUUCUGAAAAUUAAGCAAUUUCUUUUAACAUGAAAUAAUGCAACUCAUAAUUAAUUUUUUAACAGGUUUUUUCCUUUCAGCCUCAUGCAUUCUUUUCUUAUCUAAAAGCUAUUUUUUUAAUAUCCAAACCAAAUUAAAUCUUAGACCAUUUUUUAGCAAACUUGCCCAAACAAAAAUUGUUUUUGAUUAAAAUCAGUUAUUCAUACAAUCGAUUAUGGAUAAUCUAAUUUUCAAAGUUGUCCCAUACAUACCCUAAAUUUAUAUAUGCUUUUAGAAAAUUAGACGAUAGAGCAACUUUUGAAACAAUUGAGGUGUAUAUGUUGAUUUUCUUUUUCAAUGAUACAUUUAAUUAAUUCAUUUUAUCUCGUUGGUUUAUUUUAUUCCCUUCUCCAUCUAGUGUUUGUGGAAAUUUUUUCUCGUAAUUGGCUUUUUAAUAAAAUGCUUUCAGCUAUAACAGUUGCCGGAAUGAUAAAAUUCACAACCUACUCAAAACAAACAACUAUACCAUUGCCAUACGAGAGGCCUUACCUUGAGGAAUACAACUGUUUCUAGAUUUAUUUGUUUGAUACAUUUGCAAUUAUGAGCCCAACUAUUAGUAGAAGACAUUAGGUUCAUUUACUGGUACGCAGAUAUGACUCCCAAUUGUCACAUUCUAUCUGUUUAUCUGAUUUAAACUAUUUAUAUUUUUGAAUAUUCUAGUUAAUCUUUUACUCAGACAAGAUAUGUAAGAUUUACUAUAUUCUUUGGUUUGAGGAACGAUACAUAGGAAAAUCAUCAUGCCAAUUGGAAGAGUGAUGACAAUAAAGGUGAUACACUACAAUUUGAAAAACAUUAUUAUACAUGUCUGUAUGCAGUGCAUGGAUCUUCAUGUUGUCUACAUGUUAAGUCUUUCUAUUCAUUAGGCGUUUGAUAAAAGAGAACAAAUACUUCAUUUUGGACCUUCACAGUGGUUCAAAAUAAUGAAACUGAUAAUUAUGAACUAUCCUUUAUUUUCAAACUAACCAUCCAUCUAAUGUAAUUCCUAGUUACUUCUCAUUCACAGAUUUAGUGGAUGCGUGGAUAAGUAGUUUCAUAAAGUACAAAAUAGAAAUAUCCUAUCUAAUAAGAAAAAUAAAAAUCCUAACUGCCUGUUUUGCCUACUCAGCUUUGCAAAUGUAAAGCCUCAGUACUUUCUAACAGAUCUAUAUAUUACCUCAUAAAGAUCAAUGUCUACUACCACAGUGGAUUACGAAAUGAAAAUUUCAAAUUUCCAAUCAUAUAUUUAAAAUUUAGUCUGUGUAAAGAUUUUUAUAUUGAUCAAUGGGCUAGAUUGUCUAAAUAGUACUUUCUUUUCAUUGAUUCAUCUUGUUAUUCCAGAACCAUGGAAACUCAAAUGUCUGACAUAACACAUUCAUAGCAAAUCAGCCUGAUGAUUAAAAUGAUUGUAGGCCUUCUUGUUUUGGGGAAGAGUGGAGGAACUGUGAUAAAGACCCUCUUAUGCUUUAGCUUGAAUGAAGUGUUUAGAAACAAAUGUGUAUAAAUUUUGUUUAGAAUUUGUUAGAUUAUAAGGUAAUCUCAAAGAUGUUUUCGACUGAUUAGGAAUUUAAUCCAAAAGGAUUAUAUAUGUGUGAAGGUUUGCAUCUAGGAAAAGAGUAUGAAGAAACAAACAAAAGAAACUACAACACGAACCCCUCAUACUAAAGAAGACAUUGGCGGAAGUAUAUAGAGAAAAAAAUAGAGCACAAGCAAUUAAAGUAACAAGUAAAAGAAAGUUCAAAGUGGAGAAGCCUUGGAAGAAUGAAAGGAGAGUGCCACUUGAAAAUGAAGGAUUCUUUAUCUUCAUGAUAAACUUCAUGGAGAAUCACUACUUGACUCCAAAGUUAAUAAAUAAGAUAAGACUCAAUCAAGAUCACUCUCAGAAGUGUCUCAAAAUCUCACAAAUUCCAUAUAUCAUCCAAAGUGAAAAUACAAGAAAAGGUGAUGGCUAUAAGCCUAUGAUCACCGAAAAUUCCUAAGCUAAAUGUGACUCAAAAAUUACAUGCUAAUGCUAAUUCAUUACAUGUGCUGAAAAUUUAAAAUAAAUGGGAGGGUAAAUUUUGAAUUUUGAAUUCAAAAUAAAAUAAAAAGAAAUCUCCCUUGAUUUGGCAGGAUUCCAUCAUGCUUACAUGCCUUGGUUCAUGCUUUCCUUGCUAUUUUGAUAGCGUGAUCUCCUUGCUUUGUUUAAGCUUCAUUUGGCUGAGAUUCCUAAAUCAAAAUUGGGCUCUGCAAUUGGGCUUCUUUUGUUGUUUGACUUUUAUUCUUCAUGCCCCCUUUUGUAGAUGCUUCUUUUGGGCUUUUGAAGAAGUCCAUUUAUGUGUUUACUAUUUAACACCACCUAUGAAAAAUAUAUUCCAAUUAAAAGUCCAAGAAAUGCUAAACAAAGGAACUAAACUAUUUUUUAUUGCAGAACAUUUUGUCUAGUCACCAGUGAUUCUUCUUGUGAUGACAUGCUCUUGCUUAUUUUCUUGUUCUUUUUCCAUGAACUCAUCAAAAUGAAAACUGCAUAUCCUUUUAUUAUUUACUUUCUGUCAAUUCAACCUUUUUAAAUUUUUGAAGACAUAAAUAGUUUGAAAUUUCCAUCAUGUCUGUGACCAAAGUGGAGAAACAUCAGUCAAGCAUUAAUUAUUGUUUAUCAUUCUUCUUCUUCUUCAUGUAAAUUUGAUUUCUCACUGUUUCUCUUGCUGCUAUCAUCAGCAGCAGCUUAAUUACCUUUACAACCAAAGUUGUAUGUUGUGAAAUAUAGGGGAUGUAGUUUAGUAUAAUUGUGUUGCUAUGAAUGUGGAAUUGAUAUCUCUUGUUAAUUCUUUUACAGCACCAAUGAUUCUGUUUUGGAGGAAAUGAAGAAAGAAUACAUGUUAAAACAAGCAAAGGGCUCUAGUAGAAUCCAGACUGCUUGAUUUCAAUGUCUACGGUGCAGUUUAUCAACAUAAUCUUACCUCUUGGAUUCAAAUUCUUUAGGCAUUUAGAAUGAGGUGUUCAUUAUUAUAUGAUGCCAUGGACCUUCAUUAUAACUCAAACUUUUCUUUUUUUUGUGAAUUUUGUAUGGAUAAUAGAACUUAAUUGAAAGAUCUUGGUUGGUAUGUGUCUGUUACUAUAUCUUAAAGGGAGCUUGGCUUCUAUUGGAGCCAUUUUGACUAUGGUUGAAGUUUACAAGAGGUUAAGUUCAACGUCAAUCCAUCAUGAGAUAAGGAUUGGCUUUUGAAUGUGCUUUGAGAACCAGGAAUAUUGCAAUACAAACACACACCAAAGUGUGUAGUGUGUGAAGAGAUUAAUUAUGAUGGUGUUAUUGGAGUCUCAGCAUACUUAUGAAGUUGAUUUUGUAAUUUCAUUAAAUUGAAGUCUAUUGGGAUGACAAAUAGAUUCUUAGUUUUUCUUUAAUAAUAUUUUUUUAUUUAAAUGACAAAUGAUUGUUGAAUCAUGUGGAGGUAGUUUAGUUGAGAUUAUGAGAUAUUAAGUUUUAUAGGAAUGUUUAGCAUAAAAUUUUUAUAAAAAAAAAAUAGAUUUAUAAUUUUUUUUUAAUGUAUAGAAGGUGGAUAUUUUCUUCUAAACAUAAUUUAUUUUUAGAUUAAUACAUGAAAUUUAAACACUUUUUUUUCAGAUUCAGUUUGUUCAUGGGGGCAGAAACGGACAACAUACUACAGUUAAAGAAAGUAUUUUUAAAUAAUUCGAACAAUUGUAAUCUUUAAAAAUAUGAUAAAUUUUUUAUACUUAUAUUCUGGAGAAAAAGAAAGUAAAAAUUUGUUAAAGUAAUUUAUUUAAACACUUUUCUUAAUAAGUAUGCUUAGAUAUCAGGAAGUUUUUAUAAAUAAAGAAAGUGUGAUAAUGGAAAAAUAUUUAUUAAAAGAUGAGAUAGAAAUUUGAUAUUCAUCAUGAGUUUUUAAAUUAGGAAUGUGAAUGGAUCUAUUCAUACUUAAUUAAAUAUUUAUUAAGUUUUCUUGAUAAAAAAGAAAAUCACAAUAAUGAAAAAAUAAAUUAACAAGAAUGUAAGAAUUUAAGCAUUUUUUAAUAAAAAACAAAUUAUAAUUAUAUAAAUUUUAAAAUAGAAUAUCAAAUAAACUAAUAACAUUUCAACAAUUUAAAAUAACACAUGGAUUUCUAUCUCCACACUGGACUUUAAAAUAUUUAAAAAUAUAAAUGUAUUUUUCCUUCGUAAUCUUUAUUAAUAAAAUGUAUUUUACUAAAAUACUUUAAUUUGGCAUAUACAUAAAUAAGAAUGUGUUCAAAAUAAUUAAUAUUUAUUUCAUGAAGCAACAUAACAAUAAUUUUGCGCAGUGUAUAAUAUUGUAGACAAAUUAAUUAAACAAAUGAAGGUAAAAUUAUAACAAAAAGGUUUAUUCAAAUAACAAUGGUGUAAUAAAAAAUAUUGUUUAGCAAUUAAUGCGUGUUCUGAAAAUUAAAAAAAAAAAUCACACUCCCUCUAAUUUUGGAAUUUUAAAAGCAAAUUCGUUCCAUGUAUUAUUUGAAGAAUUAUAUAAAAUACAAAAUUAAUAAUAUAUUAAUUAAUUGAGAGUAUAUACAAUGUCCACUUAUUUAUUACCAAUUAAAAAAUUAGUUGUAUUGACUGAAUACAAUACUCACAUAAUAAUCUUAACUACGAUAAACACUUUUGAAAAAUCAUAGAACAUAAAUCCUUAUUACAAAUUCUUCAUGACAUGAACAACUACAAAAUAAUUUAAGCAUAUUAAUAAAUUAAAUAAUCUAAAUAUGUUAUUUACUAACCAAAAAUAAAUAUAAAAUAUAUUCUAAAAAAUAUAAAUAGUAUAUAAACUUAUAAGAGUCCUAUUAGCUUAGAAAAUAAUACACAUAGUAAAGUUGAAUUUCAAAUUAUUUUAAAUCAUGAGUUGUUGGUGAGAAACUUAAAUUAGUGAUUCCAAUCACAAGAACCCACCAAGAUUACGAAAACAAAUUAGAAUAAUAAUUUAAGAACAUGAAUAACAUAAAAUCAUAACAUCAUGUAAUACCGAAAUUAAGGAAUAAAAUGUGAACGAAACAAUAAUAAGAUAAACUAGAACAAAAGAACAAUUCAAAAGAGAAGAUGAAUAAGAGACUUGGGAGAUGAAAUAAAUUAUAUGCUACAUGAGAAAUCUUCAUCCUCCAACAUAAACAUCACAUGAUGAAUCAUUACUUGACUCUUUAAGAAUCAAAUAAAACUUUUCAUCACUCUCACUAAAGCUAACUCACAAUAAUUUAUGUAAUUAUUAUAUAUCUCAAAAGUGUAUUGUACAAGGCAUGAGUGACUAUAUAUAGCUACCAAAGAUCAAACUUUGGUUGAGAAUUUUACAAAGUAAAGAAGAGUGACUAUAUAUAGCUACCAAAUAUCAAACUUUGGUUGAGAAUUUUACAAAGUAGAGAAGAGGAGAGAAAAUCAAAUUUAUUAGAAUAGGAUUACGCCUAAUAUCAAGGGAUUUGAAUUUUUAAAAUUCAAAUUCCUCUUCUCUAUCAACUAUGUAAACUUCAACCAACACAUUCUAGGUCAGGAUUUACAUUUCAUUUUAUUGUAAUUAGCAUUUGAAUUUGAAGAUUGAAAAUAAUAAUUUAGCUCUAGAAUUCGGGUGGAAUAAAGUUUAAAACCACUUUUGAAGAUUUUCACAAGAUGAUGAUCAACAUAAAGUAGGAGGAUGAUAGUCUACUAGUUAAAAAGGUUUCUAAAAGGAUUUCCACAAAUAACUUGUACAUGUAUAAUAUAUGAACUAAUGAAAACAAUAUCUUAUAUUGGUUCACGAUAACACUGAGUUACAUCUAAUUUUUCUUUAAAAACUUGUAAAUGGUUAAACUAAUCAAACAAACAAUAAUUACAAAAAAUAUUUUUUGGUCACUUUUGUCCUUUUGUCUUAUAAUGAGUACACAAAGUCACUCGUGAUUAUUCCCUCUAUCUCUCCUAAGAUAAAGAACAUAGAUAUUCUUUUUCAUUAAGCUACUUUUGGCUUUCCUAAGUAUUUUAUAAUUGUCACUCCUAACUAAAAUAAGUUAUUUUAGAUACAAGGAAAAACUCUCAAAAGAGAUAAACUUCUCUUUCAAUUAUUUAUUUUUCUUUCAACACAGAUACUUGCUUUUUUCCAUAGUUUUAGGGACUUUAGUUCUUGAGUUAAUUGUGUAAAAUGUUUUGGUGAGCUUGUGGCAUUAUCAAUACGUUGAAAGUGAAAUUUACAAAUAUUUAAAGAAUAUUUUUCUUUUAGCAACACUAGGAAAACAAACUAAGACUCAAUCUUAUAAUAAGACUCCAAGCAAUGAAACAAGCCUUUGGAACUUGCUAAAUUGCUUUACCUAAAAUACUAAAGAAGAUAGUUCAUUAAGAAAAUAAAUUAGUUGAAUCCUAAUGUGAAAACUUGUUAGCACUUGGAGCUAUCAAGACAUUUCAACAUUUAAAUGUGUAACUAACAUAAAAAAAGUCACCAAUAGGAGAUGGGAGGACAGUAAGGAUUCCCAAGAUACCCAAGAAAAUAACCGAAUUACAAGUUAAACAAAAGUAAACAAAUAUUGAAAGAGAUAACACACAUUAGCCAUUGAAAGAAAAGAGAGAUAAAAUUGGAGACAAAUUUUGUUUGCUACGAAUUUCAAACUUGUUUGAAACUUUUUCUUGUCACUAAAUUAGUUGCUAAUUCGGCUUCUACAAAAUUUUCCACAAAGGUACAAGAACUUUGGUUUUCAAACUCUCUCGAUGCCUCUCCAAGUGUUUAGUCCCUCCUUGAAGGAGUUAUUUUCUACCUUUUCAAUGCAUAAAGGCGUUGUAUCCUCUUAGAAUUCCAUCAACACUUAAGAUGCUACCUUAUGAAGUUAGGUGUUCUCAAAGAAUCAAGUUAAGCCAAUAGUAAAUCCACUCAAGAAGUUGAAAAAGUAAAGCAAUAAAAGCUCAAUUUAGAAAUGCUAAACUCAAAUUAGAACUGAUAUGACAAGUGUAACACCCAAAUUUUUGUUUAGGAUACUAGGUAAGAGAAUCCCUUAGCUUAUUUUAUACAGAGUUUUAGAUUUCCUUCACUAGGAAAAAUUCGCUCAUCACAUUUGGCUCCGCUCAGCAAAAUUAUGUAAAAGAGAGUCUUGGAAGUUUUCUACAUAAUUUCACUUAGUCAUUUCCAAAUUCAUUAAGCCAUUUUUAGCAAUCCGCUCAACAUGUUGAGAUUUGCUUAGCGGAUUGACCCUUAUCAUUUUAGUAUAAAUAGACCUAAAUUGUUAUUUUUACAUAUUUUAGCAUAAAAUAAAGUUGAGAACUAAGAGAGAAAAAGUUUCCUCACCACCUAAAUCAUAAAGUUUCAAGAGAUUAUUCUUUCUUCCAUCACUUCUUCUCCUCAUUCUCUUCAAGUUCCACCAAUCAAUUUUCUUCCAAGGUAAGUGGUUUUCUUAUUUCCAUCAUUUUCCUCCAUUUAUGGUGAGAAAUGUGACAUAGAAGAAGUAUAGGGUUAUGGGUUAUGAAAUCCUAACUUCUAGAAUCAUUUUCUGAAGAGAUAUAUUGUCUUUUCAAACUUUCUUAUGAGAUAUUCCUAAAAUCACUAUUGUUCUUUCAUAUGGAAAUAUUUGAUUAUAGUAUUAUGUCUUAUGAAAUGCUUUAUGGGAAUUGUUGAAAGUUAUCUUUACUUUGAAGUUGAAACAUAACUUCUAAUGUGAUAAAGUUUUAAGUGAACUUUAUAUUUCACAAGUUGCUUAAAAAAGAAAUUGUAAAGUAUGUUUGUAAAAAAUGUAUCACUCAAAAGAGCAUUCGGAUAUCCGUCUCUGAAUAACUCUGAGAGGAUAUGAGAGUCCCUAUGUUCAAAUUCUCCAAAAGGGGGUAUAAAUACCGAGAAUUCAUGGCAUAGAGGAAAGUGACAUCUCUAAAAAUGUUUGAGCUCAACUUUAUGACAAUAGGAUGGGAAAAGAAAUGUUCAAGAGAUAUAUUUCUUGAGUUAAAUUUAGUUACUUAGAUAUAUUUGAGAUAUGAUUUCUUUUAUUGCUUUUGAAAUACCAACUUGUGAAAUGUUUAAUGAUUAACUUAUUUACUGUAUGUUAUAUUACCACUCAUUGAGUUAAUCUCACAUAGUUUUAUUUUAUAUAUAUAUAUAUAUAUGUAUUCCAAAUGAACAUGUUAUAGAGUAUGAAAUAUGAAGCAACUUUUGAAUUCCAUGCAACUUACGAGUUGCUUAGUUAGGUUUUGUAGAGAUUUUUGUAUUAAUUUUCCCUUUUGUAAACAAAUAUGUAUAGUUAUACGCAUUAAAUUUUAGUUUUGUUGUGUAUCGUUUAUUCAAGAACAUCAAUGUAUAACAAAUAUUAUGUUAUGUAAAUGUUUCUUUAUGUAAAUUUUAUUAUUCAUAUAUGUUAUUGUUUAUGUAUGCCCAAAUCCUCUCUAGGUUGUUAUAACAAUACUUCAAAUAAUGCUAAAAAGAACAUGACAAGCUAAAAUUAAAGCUCAAAAUUAGAAAUAUACAUAGUAAAGAAGUCUAAAGAACGACUCUAGAGUAGGUGUAAAACUAAUAUAAUAUGGUUUGUUUUUUCUUUUAUUAUUUUUAUAAGCAAGAAUAAGAACCCGAGGAUGAUUGCCAGUAAAAAAAAAAUUUAAUAAAUCAUAUUAUAUAAGUGAGAAGGUUUGCAUCCAAGAGCAAGGUUUAAUUCAGUUUCUCUUAUAAUGAUUUGUAUUUUCUUCUUCUCUUUUUGUUAAGACGCUAGAUGGUCUAGUACCUGCUAAACGGUCUAUCACCCAUUAAACAAUCUUGUGAUAAGAGAAUUUAUGAGUUUUGAUGAUAACAAACAUUAUAAGAUAUGUUAAGAAUUCUAACAAAGCUCACUCAUUCAUAAUAAGGUAAAGGCUCAUCAGACGGUCUAGUAAGAUAAAACUUAUUAGACGGUCCUACAAUAUUAAAAUUGUUAGAUAGUCUCUCAGUGUUAAACUUUUUAAGCAGUCUAUGUGCCAAGAACAAAAUAGCCAAACCAUAAAGCAUUGAUCUAUUAGACAGUCCAACUGUGCAUAGACACAAUAAAUGGUCUCACAGUACAAGGACAUACUAGACAAUCUCGUAAGAUGGUCUCUAAGGACAUAUCAAGUCAAACAUCUCCAAAGCUUAAGAAAGCUUAACAAAACAAUUUUAAUGAACACGCUAACCAUAACUUAAACUUGUACAUGUUAAAUGGUCAUUUCGUUUUCGUGUUAGAUAUUCUAACGCAUUAGGGAGUGUUUAUGCUUGAUUUCUAUGAUCUUAGAUUUUUUCUGACAUUGCUUUAAUAUUUUUGAACUUUAUUUGGUGAUUUUAAUUCAUAUAAAUCAAAGUUUUCAAAUAAGAUAACUAAUUGACUAAGUUUGGGAAGUUUUUGUAUUUGCGAACAUAAAAUAGAGCAUCCCAAAAACUCCAAAUAUUGAGUGUCUUAAUAAUCUUUGAAUGAAAUACAUUUUCUAUAAUGAUUAUAAAUUGUUUCAAGUACUGUUAUGUCCUCAGGAUUAAGAUUUAGAAAAUAUUAGAAAGUUUUGGAAUGAACAAUGUUUAAAUUGGAAAGGUUUUGAGAAAAAAAAGCACACAUAUUCACUGUUUAUUUUUUUUUUGAAAAAUAUAUUAAGGAAAUAAUUCAGGGUUAAAGUAUGAAAAUUUUUCAAUGUUUAAAUCUUGUACAAACUUAGAAAGUAUUUGUAAAUAUUUUUACAAUGGAAUUUUUGGAAUGGAAGAUUUAAAUAAUUUAGAAAUAUCAAAGAUAAUGUUUCAAUGAUACCCAUGCAAUUAAUUAAUGUUUAUUAUUGUCUCUAAGAUUCAUAGUAUUUCCAGAAAAGGUUUAAGGAGUUUAAAGACACGUAUGAAGAUUAAAUAUGAAGUUUCCUAUUCAAACGUCUAUUGGUGAAAAGAUGAAGUGCAUAACGAGAUUUGUGCAAUCCUAAAGAGCUGCCACAUACAUGCCUCAACGUUCAAAUUAUAUUUGAAUAUGGAAAGAACUCAAAGCUCAAAUAAUGUGAUAUUUGAUUAAAAAGCACAAAAUAUUGUCAAGGAUAAAGUUUCCUUUUUUUCAAACGUGUGGUGAGAAAAAAAUGAUGCUACAAUGUGUGAUUCUCGCAAGCAAGGAUUAAGUUGUUUCGAAUGAAGAUAUACAAAUAGAGAAAAGAUUCAAAGUACAAUGAGUGUUCAAGGCGCAUUAAAAGUUUAAUAUCAAAACAUUCUUUUCUUUAGCGUCUUAUAUGAACAAGAUGAAGAAUAAUACAAUAUGACGAAGAUUCAAGUACAAAUAUGAUAAAACUUCAACGUUCAAAUUUCUACAAAUGAAGAAACAUAUUUGAAGUUGAAAUAUGUGAUUAAGACGAACAUAUUGCAUCAAAGUGAAAUUUGUCUUAUUGAGCGUCUACUACAUGAAGAAAAUAAAGUUAUGCAUAUUUAAACAAAUAUUUGAGUCAAGAGGAAUUAAAGCUUCAACAUAAACAUUUGAGCAAAGAAAUGAAACAUUUCAAAUUGGCUCACACAUUCAACAUGCACAGAGAAUGAUUUAGAUAAAAAGUUUCUAUAUAAAACGUCUGAUAUAUGGUGAAGUACAAAUUACAAGCCUCAAAUGAUCACAUUCUAAAAGCUAUAUAAAGACCUAAAAGUCAAAGAAGAAAUACAUAGAACAACGAAUCAUAAAUGAUAUCCUAUGAGCAUUGUUAUCUCUUUCGAGAAUGUUUUCUCAUAUCUUUGAGAGGUCUUGAUCUCAGGAGAGAUUAUAAUUUAUAACUAGUUUUUACGGCGAGGUGUUGAAUACUCGUUCUUGAAAGUACGUUAAAACUUGUGUACCUAGAGAGGUGUAAAAUACUUGUCCCGGAGAGGUGUUGAAACUCGUUUUAGUGAAAAACUCUUAAGUGAUUUGCUUAAGAGGACGGGAUGUAAAUGAAGUGAUUUGGUGAUCCAAUAUAAAUAUUUGUUUACUUCUCUUUUCCCUUUAUUGUUAUACACUAUAUUGUUUUGUUUUGUCCUUAAACUUGGUUGAUUUUAUACCAAGUAAAAUAUAUGAGUUUUCAAAAGUUAAAUUUCUAAUAUUAAAAUAACUCAUCUGGCUUCUUUGGAGUGUUCACCCACCCUACACUUUUGAAGGAUUUAUAUUAUUUUAAAUUUUUAAACAUUUUAUAGUCCUUAUGUAUUAUUUAAAUAUUUUAAAUAGUAUUUUAAAUUUUCAUAAUAAAUAGUUGUAAUAUAAUAUUAUUUUUUUCUUUGUUUUUCCGAUUAACUAAAUUUUUAUAUAAAAUUUACAUUAAAAGUUAAAUUCCACAACAAUAAUUAAUAAUUAUAUUAAAUAAUUUUACUUAUCGUUUUCAAAUUAUUAAAAUAACUUAUUCUUUUUCUGUUUUUUUGAAAAGGGGAAAUAAUUGUUAAAUAAUUAUAUAUAUAUAUAUAGUAAUAUAGUAAUAAUCUUCAAAGAAUACAUUAACUGAGUAAAUAAUUUUAAUUUUCAAAAUAUUUAUUUUAACACUCACACGUGAAGUAUUAAAUAUUUUCUAUCAUAUUUUAAAAGAAAAUUCUGGGAAAGAUGCUUUCAUAGUAAAAUAGUUUCGUUUGGUAAAUAAAAGGCAAAGCGUCUGCUCUGCCAUUUCCUUAUUGCCAACUAUUUCCGUUAACCAAUUGUUUUAUUUUCCAUGUGAAAUGACCAAAAUAUCCUUAAAUAAAAAAAGUGAUAAACAUGAAUAUACAUUUAAUUUUUUUAAUAUUUUUCUGAUUUUUUUUAAAUAUUUUUUUUUUUGUAUUUUAAAUUUGAUUUUCAUAAAGAUUCUACUCGUUUUCGGAAUCCAAUAAUCUAUUUUUUAAAAUAUAAUGUUUUAAGUUUGAAAUUUUUAUUUUCGAAACGAAGGACAUUUUUGAAACUUCAAUGUGUUUGUAAGUUGCCGUGUGUUGGGUUGAUGAAGAGUUUGGCUUCUUUAUGUUUUGGGUUCAUUGAAGAAGAAAAUUGGUGUGAAUGGAAGUGUGGUGAUUUUGUGCUAUGAAGAAGGGAAAGAAGGUGAAAGAGAGUGGAAGUGAUGAUGAUUGUGAUUGUUGGUUGGUUCAGAAUGGAAUAGCAGGUGUGUUCAUGAGUGUUGGGUUGUUUGCAUUGUUGGUGCGUGUGGCGGUGUCACUGCACCCUUACUCUGGUGCUGCCAACCCUCCAAAGUUUGGGGAUUACGAGGCUCAGAGGCAUUGGAUGGAGAUUACCACUAACCUUCCAAUCAAGGAAUGGUACAGAAACAGCUCCACCAAUGAUCUCAGCUACUGGGGACUUGACUACCCACCUUUCACUGCCUACCAAAGUUUCAUUCAUGGCCAUCUUCUUCGAUUCUUCCAUCCUCAUUCCGUUGCUCUUCUCACUUCCAGAGGCCAUGAGUCCUAUCUUGGGUCAGCAUAUUACCCCUUUUUCAUUACCCCUUUUCACUUGCAAUGUAGUUUCAAUUCAUACCAUGCUUACAAUUCAGUGUUUGAAUUAGGUACAGGGAAAAAUUUAGAUCUAGUUCAUUGGGUGCUUUUAUCGCUUCGGUGUUCUGCAUAAUUAGGGUUUUGCAUUAAAGAUCAAAAUAGUUUAUUGAGGUGAAACACAGAUUCUAUUGGGAGAAUAAUACUAUUUAAGGAACUGUAUUUAUUCAUACUCGUUUAUGUUAGUCCUCUGUGAAGGUAGCAGAAUGCAGAAAGAGUUUGAAUAAUUUCAGGUUUUCUCAUUCAUGACUGUAUUACAAUCGGGACAACAUUUUCAGGGAUCAAAAUGAAAAUGACAGUUUAUUAUUGUAUAUAAAUGAAUUACAAACUGAUUUUGUAGGAUUGAAGUACGUCGAAACUAAACCCACUUUUUAAUAUUUAGAAUUCUAUUGAUGGCUACAAUUUUCUUAAUUUCAAUUUUGUUGCUGAGUAGUGGGUAUUUUAACUUUGAUAUUAUCAUUAUUAAUAUUUUAAGCUGUGCUUACUUCUGCAGAAAACUACUUAUGAGGUGGACAGUGUUAUCAUCCGAUGCCCUGAUAUUUUUUCCGGCUGUCCUCUAUUUUCUUUUUGUUCAUUACAACAAACCUUCAAAGAGCCGUAAAAGUGAAUUAGUAUGGCACACUGCCGCGUUAUUGCUAAGCCCUUGUUUGAUCUUAAUUGAUCAUGGUCAUUUUCAGGUUUCAAAAGAAAAUUCUUCUGUCGUUCUUGUUCAAUGCCUUUGGUUCUUUACAUAUUUUUCAGUCACUGGUUUGGUAGUGCUGUAAUUUUGAAUAUUGUAUUUUGUUGUAUUUCAGUUCAACUGCAUCAGCUUGGGAUUUACUAUUGGAGCUGUUGCUGCUAUCCUCUCUGGGAAAGAUUUUGUGGGUUCUGUUCUCUAUUGUCUAGCUCUAAAUCAUAAACAGGUUAGUCUCCUUCAUCAUUGUAUAGGUCUAUUUUUCAAAUUUUGCACAUGUGCUUAUAUUGUGAUGGUAUGGAUUUUCCUCUUGUAGUACUUUUGGGGUUGGUGUUAAAUUGGAUGUCAAUUGGUUGCGUUCUGCAGAUUAUAUUUGUUUUUUCUUGGUUGAUUCUUAUAAUUAAUUACUUUGCAUGCCCUAAAAUUGUAUCCUGAAUUGCUGAUGCACUUAUACACUAGUUCAAACCAAAUGAAAUUUCUAAAUAUUUUACCCUGUCAAUUUAAUGACUUUGUGACUUUGCUAUUUUCUAAAAUUUAAUUCACAAGUACCAAUAAUUUUUUGGCUGUGUUGUUGAAUAUGAUCCUUAGUUGACAAAACCAUAUAGUUGUCAGAGAAAUGGCAAAUGGUAGUAAUGGAUUAGGUUGUUGUGUUGGUUAAUAAGCUAAGAAGAGAAUGUACUCUAUCUAAAGUAGUGAUUGCAUCUGGUCUCAUGUUUUUGGUUUACUCUUCUUCAGUGACUGUAAUUAUUUUAUGCAUAUAAUUUUUUUCAGAUGAGUGCAUAUUUUGCACCUGCAUUUUUCAGCCAUCUACUAGGAAAAUGCCUGAGGCGAAAACAUCCAAUCCUUGAGGUGUUAAAACUUGGGUUGUUGGUUUUAGGAACAUUUGCAGCUGUGUGGUGGCCUUAUCUAUAUUCAACACAAUCCGUUUUAGAGGUAACAAUGUUGUCAUUGCCUGGUUCAAAGUGCGUUGUAUUCUUAACUUGUAAUUUUGUGUCAUAUUCUUACAUGGAAGUUAAUAAUAUUGCCUUUACUGUCUUGUUUCCCAUGAACACAAGUUUUAGAAUUUUUACCUUCAUUUAAUUUUCAUUUGAUCGUCCAGAAAUUGGUAGGGCAUUUUGGAGUCAAAAUAUUUAUGUCGCUCCUGACUUUUGCUUUUGUUAUUCAUCCGACCUGUGUGAAAUCUGGCUUGGGCUAUACUAAAUUUGCAUGACAUGACUGGGUUUCAUCUUGAAGGCUACUGUUGUUUACAUACAUAUAUAUAUAUAUAUAUAUAUAUAUAUAUAAAUAUAAAUAUAAACAAAACCACAUGUACAAAACAUUACACCAGUAUCAAACAAAACAUUAUACAGUUGAGCCUGUUAAUAAUAAUAACAUUUUAAAGACUUUCUAGACUCAUUCUAACUAGUACUACAGACGACAUAAAUUAAUGCACCCGUACAUCAAGCUGCAACCAAUAUAGCUCAACUCCAACCUUGAUAGAAGCUCAAGGGAAACCCAUUUAUAGCAGAAACACAGCACUUUUGCUGCUCGCAAUUUUUGUGACAGCACAUUGCAAUCUUGUUCAUAUAAUUCAGCUACUGUGUUAGAUCAUUUCCACAGAAAUCAUCCUCAGGCCAAUGCUGGUCUUUGACAAAAACAUGCAUGCUUGUGCCUUUGUUCAUUAUGUGGACUCUCAUCUUGACUCCUUGGUUUCUCCUUCCACCAAGCCUUUCAUGUGAAUGCCUUUUUCACUUUCUUUCAUGUGUACACACUACUGUACUCGUCACCUUGUUUUUCAUGAACGAACUGUGAGCUGUUUCCAAGAAAGAACUUUGAGUUGCUUUCACUGAUAUUCUGUUGAUCAUCGAAGGCUACUGUAAAUUGAUUCACCAUCUGUACUGUCAGAAAGCUUUUUGAUGUGGAUAUAUAAUUGGAUAAUUUAUUUCUAUGACACAAUCUUGACUCUUUGAUCAUGUUCUCCUAUGUAUCUCGUUGGACCCUAUGAUCUUGACUUUAAGUGUGCGUAUUCCUGAUUAUGCUACAUCUUUGUGGCCUGUGUGCCAAUUGUGAAAUCAAUGAACUAUCCUAAAUAAUUGUUUUGUUUCCUGAUUUUCGUUCAAAAUUCUUUAGAUAUUUAUGAAUUAGUAAUUUGGUAAUGGCAUGUGUCCUUUGUGCUGUCUGUUCAGUAGUCAGUAAUCAGUAUACUAAUUAAGAAUUGUCUUUGUUUUAAAAAUGCCGUCCAAGUUGCUUGGGUACAAAAGUAACAAAAAGUUUGGCAUCGGCUACUGAACAAGUAACACGAGCCUUGAAUAUGUCUAUUAGAAGGGACGUCUCCAUGCAUUCUGGAUCACAGAUGAAGUAUUAAUGUCAUUUAGUGUAUAUUUAAAAUAAAGGAGCAGAUCUAUGGAAUUUCUAGAUUGAAAGUUUGCAACUAAAGCUAGGAAUGUGAAGCCUUAAAUGAGGUAUUAGCAAUAGGUCUAAAGACUGAGGGAUAUAUGUUGAUAUGCUGUGGUAUAAGUUUAAACUAGCGGUGGGUGUUGAUUGAUACUUUAAAUUAAAGAACAGAGAUGCCUUUUCAAUUAUUUUCUGAUCCUUAUAAAGGACUCUUGUUAUUUGCAUGUGGCACUUGUGACACAGGUCCUCUCCCGUCUUGCUCCAUUUGAAAGGGGAAUAUUUGAGGAUUACGUGGCCAACUUUUGGUGUGCCUCUUCAGUUCUCAUCAAGUGGAAAAGAUUAUUCACAAAAGAGUCUCUGAAGCUUAUCAGCUUCACCGCAACAGUUAUAACAUGUCUUCCUUCAAUGAUUCAGCAAAUAAAGUCUCCCAGCUAUCGAGGUUUCCUUUAUGCGUUGCUGAAUAGUUCUUUCUCGUUUUACUUGUUUUCUUUUCAAGGUUGGUAGUAUUUCUUUUCUUUCAUUUUCCAGAGUUGUAAAUAUUAAGAAAAAGCUUAUGAGAAAUUGUCUCUUCCCCUUUUUGCCCUUACAGUUCAUGAGAAGUCUAUUUUGCUGCCAAUUCUUCCAGCAACCCUGCUGGCUGUUGACGAGCCUUUUAUUUUCAAGUGGUUCACACAAUUCGCCAUGCUCUCCAUGUUUCCUUUGAUAUGUCGGGAUAACUUGGUUGUUGCAUAUUUGGCUUUACUUGCCGUGUUUGUCGUGAUACUCAAUGCACCCGUUCAACACAGAGUAAGAGAGACUAAUUACCUUAAUAGUUCAUGGGGCUCAGCAACCAUGUUCUUUAUUUUAUGCUGCUAUUUUGUUCUUCAUAUAUUUUAUUUGACCAUGCAUCCUCCUGAGAAGUAUCCUUUCCUUUUUGAAGCAAUAAUUAUGAAUCUGUGCUUCUCUCAGUUUGUUCUUGUAACUCUUGCCUGCAAUAUAAAGCAGUGGCUGUCAAAUAAACCUGCCAAAUUAGAAGAAAUAGAAAAGAAGCUCAUUUGACAUGUUUCAUUUUUUAAGUUAGGUUGACAGCUCUUGUUAGACAGUUGGAUUUGGAGGUGCAUGUUUGAUACUUUUCAGCAAUGUUUUUCAGAAAUUAAAUUUAUGGAGAGUUUGACCUGCAUUAACUUCAACCUUUAUGAUUUUAUAAUUUUUGCACUUUACUUUUCACUGCCCUCUGGUUUCAUUUGGUUCUUUUUCCAUGUGUAUAUUUUCUCAGCUUUUGUUGGUGCUACAAAUAAACCUUUUCAUGGUCGUCGUGAGUGGGAGGGGGGUAAGUUGAUGAAAGUACCAUUUGUUAGAGAGCUAAAAAUCUGUAGAUAGAACAAAAUAAACAUUUACAUUUUCCAUUCAUACAUUAUAUAACAAACCUAGUGAAUUGUAAUUAUACAUGUCUCAUUAGUUUUUUAAGAAAAAUUAGAAUAAAAUUCAAUGAUAUUAAAAUGUUAAUCUUCUUUCUCUUGGCCUCUAAGUUGGUCUAUGAAACUUACACCAACAAGAUCCUGCAAAAGUUGCACGAUGCAGGAUCUUCUUAGAACAUGAGUUAACUGUAACCCAAAAUCUCUGGACACAUGUAGCAACCAAAUCUCUCAUUGGUUAACCUCAAAAAAACUUCCGUAUUUGCAGAGAUACUUGAGCAAAUAAUUGAUCAUUUGUAAAAGGGAAGUGCAAAGCUGCUAGAGCUACCUUAUUUAUUUUGAAAGGAAACCAGUUCUUGUCUUGGAUAGAGUUGUUAAAAUUAGUCUAGAGCUACCUUGUAGAUUGAACUAGUGAAUCACCAAUGGAAUUGCACGAACAAGUGCACAGUAAAUAUUUAAAUUAUGUAUUGAAGAUAGUAUAUUUAAGUUACAUUUUAUUCACAUAUAUACUUAAUAUUUUGUUUUGGCUGCAUUCUGUAGAAUACAUGCCAGCUGCAAGUUGUUGUUGUCCACUUCUACCCAAAUUUUCUAGCAUUCCUUUUUGUGAGUGACCAUUCUAAACCUAAAUGCUUAUUUUACCCACUCAAAAUGUCUAUUAUAUAUACAUAUAAUUUAAUUUUUUUUCCAGUUUAUUUCAUAUACUAACAUUAAAUCAUAAAAAAAGUCGAUAUAUUAAAUUCAUUAAAUAAAGUCAAACAAUAUGAUUAAAUAUUCUAUGAAUUUAAUAUUAUAUCUUUUUAAAUAGAUAUUGCUGAUAAUUUAUUUAUUGCAUUUAAUGACACAUCUUUAAUAUAUAUUAUUUAUUGUAUUUAUAAAACUUUAAAUUUUUCAAAAGGAUUUAAUUGACACGUAUUUGGACAGAUAUGAUAUGUGUUGUCACUGAUGAGAUCUCUUCUAUUUUUGUUCGGAUGAUUUUUUUUAAUAAUCAUACAGUAAUACCAUUUCUGGUAACAAUUUUUUUUAUAUACACAAUUUUAUACUUAAUUUUUAAUCAUAAUAGAAAUGCGGAGAUACAAUCCAGUUAUUAAUGAAAAUAAUUAUCGAUUUAUUUUGUAAUUAGUUUUUAUAAAAAAUAUUUAAAUUAAUUAAUUAAUUAAAAGUAAUUACAAUGUAAACAGUUCUUAUAUAUAAUAAUCUAAAUUAUAAAUUGCAAUAGCAAAAUUAUUAAUUUUAGAAUAAUAUUUUAAAAACUAUAUUUAACAUAAAUGUUAAUCAUUCAAUAGUGUAUAACUUUUAUCCAAUUAAUCAAAAUUAAACCCAUCUUUUUAAUAUUAAAAUUUAUGAUGCAUGAAUAUUUUUAGCAAAAUCAGUAAAUGCACCUUAAAACUAUUGUGAAAUCUUAAAAGAAAAUAAUAUACAAUAAAUUCAACUAUUAUUUAUAUUCUGAUUGAAGUCCCCACCAACCCCACAAUUAUUAUGAAAUGGAAAAACAUUGAAUUAUAUUUAUUAUUAUUAUUAUUAAUAUAUUAUACAUAAUUAGAGGGUCUGAUUGAGAAAAUUGUAUUAUAUAUUAGUGCCUCAGUUGAAAGAAAUUGUGUCUCAUUCACAACUUUGUAACAUAUUUUGUUGGUGUGUUUGAUCCAUGGUAAUGGUGAUCAUCACAACCCUUUUGGUUAUCUUUGUGAGUCUGGUACUGAAGUGUGCCUAUGAGACCAUUUCAUGUUACUGGUUCACUCCAAUGAGCAUAAGGAAGAUGAUGGAGAAACAAGGUGUUCAUGGUCCUAAACCUAGUUUUCUUCUUGGCAACAUCAUAGAAAUGAGUUCCCUUGUUUCAAGAGCAGUUUCUCAAGACAUGAAAACUAUCAGCCAUGAUAUUGUUCCUCGUAUUUUGCCUCAUUUUGUUCAGUGGUCCAACCAAUAUGGUAUGUCUCUUUUACUAUAUAUCUCACCAACACAUUAGAAUGAAUGUGAAAUUUUAUUAUACACACUCUCAUAUGCAUCCAAUUUUUUAUAUUGGAUGUGAAAUUUUAAGGAUUCUACAUGCUAAGACACAAAUAUGCAAGUAAUUUGUUUUCUAUGAGAAUAAAAAAGUGAUUCCAAACAUAAAUUCUUUUACUCUUAACCUUUGAUUGAAAUUUGUUCCUAUACAAUAUAGUCUUAUAUGCUAUGGUUUUGAAAAAGUGAAAUAUUAAGAAUAGUUAAUUAUGAUUAAUUUUAAAUAAAAUCAAUUGUUAUCAUACAUCUCCUGUUUCGUAUGUAAAUGCAUGAUCCAUAUUAAAAAAUUUGUGGUGGUAUGAUAAGUUUAAAAAAUUAGGCAACAAAAUAUUAAAAUUGUGAAAAAUAAAAAAAUAUUAUGGAUAGGAAAUUUUAUUCACAAUUGAAGAAGGAUUUGCGAGAAAGUAUAUAAUUGCUUAUAUUUUAAUUUAGUAUAUUAUUUCUUUAAUCAAAUAUAAUUUACCUUUUCAUUAUAAUAAAAUAAAGAAUUAAAAAAUAUUAAAAUAAUAAAUAAGAUAAAUUUAUUAAUUUAAAUUUUGAUAUUUUGUAAAUUAAUUUAUUUUAAUAUAUUUUUAUUUUGGAAUAUAAUUUUUUUAUUUAUUAAAGUUUUANNNNNNNNNNNNNNNNNNNNNNNNNNNNNNNNNNNNNNNNNNNNNNNNNNNNNNNNNNNNNNNNNNNNNNNNNNNNNNNNNNNNNNNNNNNNNNNNNNNNNNNNNNNNNNNNNNNNNNNNNNNNNNNNNNNNNNNNNNNNNNNGUUCCCAAGUUUUUUUUUUUUUAUCUCAUCUUAUAAGUUAUGUAUGGGUAGACAUACAUGUGUUCUCUAUUUCUAUGUUCAUAUCGAUAACAUUAAUGGGAUUAAAAAUGAAAACAAGUUAAUUUAAAUAUGUUGUUGUAUGUACAUGUGUAUGCAGAAGUGUGUGUUAAUCUUCUGUUUGUUCAUUUUGUUAUUUGGGUUUACCAUGACGAUGUAGGAAAGAGAUUCUUAUACUGGAAUGGAAUAGAACCAAGGUUGUGUCUAACAGACACUGCACUCAUAAAGGAAUUUUUAUCAAAGUACAACUCCAUAUCUGGGAAAUCAUGGCAACAACAACAAGGUUCCAAACAUUUCAUAGGGAAAGGGUUGUUGAUGGUCAAUGGUGAAGAUUGGCACCACCAACGUCACUUGGUUGUUCCUGCAUUCAAGGGAGAGAGACUUAAGGUAUAUUUUAGCUCUUUACACUAUUUAACCAGUCACACAUCAAAACUUUUUGCUAAUUAAUCAAUAUACUUUUAGGUUCUGUCUUUUAAAAAUCUUCUGUUUGUUUUUUCUUGGCUUACUUUAUCUGUGUGCCUAUAUCUCUGUUUCAUUUCAUCAAGUUUCUUAAUGUCUUAAUCAUGGUACCAAGUUUAUGGUAAAGAACAUUUUUUUAAGCUACACACAAGUUGAAGGUUUAUUUUAUGAUUUUCAUCUACCAACUUAAAAAAAUAUUAAAAAAAUAAUAAUUAUUAAAUUAUACAUAAUUAUUAUACAAUAUUAUACAUAAUUAAUUUAAUAAUUAUAAAAUUUUAUAAUUAGCGGAUAUAUUAAUGAAUUCUUAAGUUUUCAUAAUACACUUGCACAUUAAUGAAAAAAAAAAUAUAUUCAUUUUUCUUCCCAUCUUCUUAUAAAAUUUUCUUAUAAAUCCCAAUCUGUUUUUCGUAUUCCCAUACAUUUCCACUCUCUGAACAUCUUUUAUUUUCCCAAAAUAAUAGUCUAUUACAGUAAAUAAUGUCAUCAUCAGAAUUACAAAAAAGGUUAUGAAUAGUAUUUUUGUCUUCUGCUGCUCUUGUGCCCACUAUUUCUUUUCUACUGCUUGGUCCUUGUUUCUUCUUACUCGAUUCGCCUUCCAAGGAGAUGGACCCAACAGAGUUUCAAAACAGAACAUUAUCUUGUAAUUGAAACUGUUUAUCAUUCGUUAUAACUUUUAAUUAAGUUGGAGAUUUGGAUCUCAGGUAAUAUAUUGCUAUUUCUUUCAUGUUUUUGUGCAUAAAACUUGUAGCAGAUAGAAUUUUUCACUUAAUCUAUGUGUUCAUGCUUGUGUGUUGUUCUAUCAUUCAUCCUUUUAAGUGUGACUGGUUUGAAUAGAAAUUUAUAAAAAAUUAUAAAGAUGUGAGGUUUGAUUGGCACAAAAUUGAAGAGUUUAUAACAAAUUUGAAGGGAUAAGAGUGAUAUUGAAUAGAAAUGAUUGGAGAUGGAGAUUUAAUGUGUAGGGCUAUGGUGGGUACAUGGUGGAGUGCACAAAGGACAUGCUUCAGUCAUUGAAAAAUGCAUUAGAAGGUGGAGAAAGUGAGGUGGAGAUUGGAGAGUAUUUGACUGAACUCACUGCAGAUAUUAUCUCAAGAACUGAGUUUGGCACAAGCUAUAAAAAGGGAAAGCAAAUAUUUUAUCUCCUCACACAACUACAGACUCGUGUUGCCCAAUCAACUCGCCGUCUUCUCCUUCCUGGAAGCAGGUAUGUCAAUCUCACUUUUUCAUUUUUCACAAUGAGAUCUCUUUUUUUUACCGUAGAUUGGAAUAUGUAAAAUAAAUAAAUAAAUAUAUAUGAAUCAGUUAAGGGUCGAUCAAAUCUAUGUAUAUACCAAUAAUUCUAUUAAAGAAAUGAAACCUUACCGUAUAAGAAAAUCAUGAAAUAAAAAUUAAUUUUAGAGAUAAAAAAAUUAGUUGUUAUAGUGACUAAAUUAGAGACUAAAAACAAAAUUUUGAUUUCUAAAUUAGUUUAUAUUAUUUUUAAAUGGUUUUUAAAUUGGUAUCUAAUUAGACAAAGGUUUUUGUUACCAAAUUUAGAAUCUAAAUAAUUGGUAGUUAAAACUUUGAUAGCUCAUUAGAUAACAAUUUAGAAACUAUUUAAGAAUAAGAGAAACUAAUUUAGAAACCAAAAUUUCUAAUCUAUAAAAUGGUCUCUAAUUUAGUCAGUAUAACAACUAAUUAUUUUUUGUCUCUAAAAUUGAUUUCUAUUUCAUGAUUGUCUUGUAGUGUUAUAACUUUGUUAGAACCUACCAACUCAACCAUUAAAGACACCUAAAAGGAUAGUACCAUCAAACCAAACUACUCAAACUAAUAAACUACUAAGAGUUUACAUCAUAAGCAAACAAGUAAACGGAUCAAGAUACCAAUAAAAAAAGGAAAAAUAAUCAGAAGCAAAAUUAGAAGUAAUCCAAAAUCAAGUUUUUAAUUGAGUCAAAAAAAAAGAUUUCAGAAUGAUCAAUCAGUCUCCUAAAAAAGAUUAAAGAUAUAUGAUCCUAGUUCCCAUGUGCCUUUUUUUCAAUGUAAACUUACACCAUUUACGGUGAAAUUGAUAUGUUAUAGGUUUUUCCCAAACAAAUACAAUAGAGAGAUAAAGAGAAUGAAGAAGGAGGUGGAGAAACUCUUAAAGGAGAUCAUAAAGGGUAGGGCAGAUUAUGUGGAGAUGGGGAGAAGCAAUUCAUGUGGGAAUGAUUUGUUGGGAAUACUCUUGGAUGAGAUGAAGAAAGAGGGUGGAAGCUUGAAUCUUCAACUAGUUAUGGAUGAAUGCAAAACAUUUUUCUUUGCUGGACAUGAAACCACUGCACUCUUACUUACUUGGACAGUGAUGUUGCUAGCUAGCAAUCCACAUUGGCAAGACAAAGUCAGAGCUGAGGUUAAAGAGAUAUGCAAAGGGGAAACUCCAUCACUUGAUCAACUCUCCAAGCUCACUCUGGUUAGUAUCAAAUUACUAUGUUUUUCUCCGAAUAUAAUUCUGUAUUUCUUUUUUUUAUAUAUAUAUUUAAGUUAUCACUACAAAAGAAAAUUAUUAAAUAAAAAUUUAUUUUAAAAAUAAAAAUAAUUAACUACUAUAUUAAUUAAAUUAAAUACAAGAAAAUUAUUAAAUAAAAAUUUAUUUUAAAAAUAAAAAUAAUUAACUACUAUAUUAAUUAAAUUAAAUACUAUUUUAGAGACUUAAAAAAUUAUUGAUAUCUAAAUUAGUUUUGAACAGCUAAAUAAUUUUUAAUGAAUAUCUAACUAACCACCAAUUACUUAGAAAGUUGAUAGUUAAAACAUUAAUAACUAAUUAGAUAUCAAUUUAUAAAUUAUUUAUCAAUAAUAUAAACUAAUUUGGAUGUAAAUAUCUUUUUAAUCUCUAGUAUAUAAUUUAGUUAAUAUAAUAAUUAAUUUUUUUUUUAAAUUAAUUUUUAUUUAAUAAAUAGGUAUACUUUAUUAAGGAUAUUAGUUCUCGUAUAUUCAUAGUUUUAUCAACUAAUUAAAAAUAUUUUAGAUAUGUUUUAUAAAAUAUUGUUAUAAUAAUUAAUAUUUUCAAAAAUAUAUAAUAAUGCAUCACUAGAUAGGAGUAUAAUGCAUAAAGUUUAAAAUUUUCCAAACUCAAUAGAAUUGAAAAAUAUUAUAUUGAAUGAUUUUUCUCCAUUAUUUCUGUAUAUUUAAAUAUUUUUACAUUAUUUUUUCCAAAUGAUUAAAUCUAACCAUUCUAAUAAAAGGGAGUAUAUAUUGAAGAUAAAAUAACCAAUUAGAUAAAUGCAACAUUUUUUUUUACUUUAAUCUUACAAGGCAAUUUCUUUCCGAUGCAAGUUACUUGGUAAGCCCAGCCCAAAUAGCCAAUGAUUUAUGACUCUAUUUUUAUUGUUUACUUGAAAAUUUGUGUUCUUAAAAUAGCAUAAAAUUUAGGGACAAUAUAAUAAGUUUUAUUAUUUUGAUAAUCAUCAUACCAAAGGAUUUUAUUAAAUAUUUUAACUGAGUACAAACUUAUAUUUAAUUGUCUCUGUGUGUCUGGUAAUAGAAUACUUAGACAAAUGAAGAUAUCUUAUUGAUAUAAUAAAUAUAAGGAUAAAUAAUUUUCUUAGUAUCAAUUAAUUAUAAAAAUAUUUUAAAUAUGAUUUUUAAAAUAAUUAUUAUAAAAAAUAACAUUAUAUACUCUAUCAUAUCUUUAUAAAAUCCAUUUAACUAUUUCAGUAUUAUUAAGAAAAUUAGUUAAAUUAGUUGGUAAUAUUAAAGUCGUCCCAAAUUUACAUCUUUUAAAAAUUUAUUUGAGCAUUAAUGAUACAUACUCUUUCUCUUUUUUAAUAUUUUUAUUAAUUAUUUUUUUAAUUUUUUUUAGUUUUUAUUGGUUGUGUAUACACUAUUAAAAAAUCAUUAAAUAGAAACCAAUUUUUAAAAAAAAAAUUAUUAUAUUAAAAAAAUUAGAUACUAUUUUAUAGACUAAAAAAAUUAUUAGUAUAUAAAUUAGUUUCUAUUUUUGAUAAAUGAUUUCUAAAUUGGUAUCUAAUUUUAGAAACUAUUUAUCAAAAAUAGAAACUAAUUUAUAUACUAAUAAUUUUUUUAAUCUGUAAAAUAGUAUCUAAUUUUGUCAAUAUAACAACUAAUUAUUUUUUAUUUUUAAAAUUAGUUUUUAUUUAAUAAUUUUUUGUGUGAUAGAAUGUCUUCUAAAAUCCUCUUUACGCAACACAAAGCUACGACCAAUAGACAUAGUUUAAGAAAUAUGAAUCCCAUUAAACAGAUGACAGUAGUUUGAAAGAUUAAUCAUUAACUUUCAGUGAAAAGAUAUAUAAAAUUUUGACCAACAAAUCCAAGUAAAUGAUGUGAUAUUGCAGUUACAAAUGGUGAUCAAUGAGUCAAUGAGGCUGUAUCCUCCUGCAACUGUGCUUCCAAGAAUGGUUUUCGAAGACAUUGAGUUGGGAGACCUCCACAUUCCUAAAGGCUUAUCAAUUUGGAUUCCAGUGUUGGCCAUUCAUCACAGUGAAGAACUGUGGGGUGAAGAUGCAAAUGAGUUCAACCCUCAGAGGUUUGCUUCAAAAUCAUUCACACCUGGUCGCUUCAUACCCUUCGCUACUGGCCCUAGAAACUGUGUUGGACAAUCAUUUGCCAUCAUGGAAGCCAAGAUCAUACUCGCCAUGUUCAUCUCUCAGUUUAGCUUCACCAUUUCUGAGAGUUAUAGGCAUGCACCAGUGGUUGUCCUCACAAUUAAACCUAAAUAUGGUGUUCAAGUUUGUUUGAAGCCUUUAGAUGCAUAAUAUCUGUGUUUAAUUCCUUCUUGUUCUAGACUAUUUUAGGGAUUCUGUAUUUAGGAUAUUCCAAUAAUCUUGCAGAGUAAGAGCAUUAUGUUUUUACUGAAAAGUGGAACAUCUAUAAACUAUUAGAAAUGUGAAGUUCUUGUGUUAGGCUUUGGACUCUGAGCUUUGAAUGAGAUUGUCCAAGCAUAUAAAGGACAACUUGUAAAAAAUUAAUUCAUAUUUAAAUCAAUAAAAAAUAAUAUGAGAUGGUACUUUCUUUCAAGCCUCCGUAAAUGGAGAUAUAUAAUAGAAAAUAAUUAGGUUCAAUUGUUUAAUAUAUUUAAGAGAUUUUAUUAAGGAGUAUUGAGAAUUUAAUUUUAUUUACACUUUAAAGUUUUAAUCAUAUAUCAUUGAACUUUAAAUAUGAAUAAAUUCAUCGUUUUAAUUGAGAUUUAUUUAAUUGAGUUUAUUUGGACUUAAUUGUUAAUUAUGUAUUUUUAGAGUAGAUGAUGUAAAUGAAGUUUCUAUAACUAUGAGUGAACCAAAAUGCGAAUGUUUAAGUUGUUUGCUUGAAUAAAAAAAACAAAAUAUGGGGAGAAAAAUAAGAGAAGAAAAUCUAUAAUAUCUCUUAAACAAAAUUGGAAGCAAAUGUUCUACAAAAUACGAAGAAAUAGAAUCGUGAUAAAACUCGAAACAUGAUAUGAGAAUUCUGAAAAGUUGGAAACUAAGAAACUGUUAACAAAAUUGGAACUAGAAUAUUUUCCUAAGUUCUUGAGGUAGAAAAACCUAUAAAAAUAUACAAACUUCAAGGAUAAAUCACCAAGCUUCAGAGUGGCGUUCAAAAAAUAGAGCAUUAGGUUUUUCUUAAUUUUCUUAUUUUAUUCUUUGUAAUAUUUUUGUUUUACCUCUGCAUGAAAGACUAAAAUCCUUUGGGUUGUUUCUCUUGUAAUUUCACAAUGAAAUUUGAGGUUUUGUGCAAUGAAAAUUUUGUUCUUUAAUACCUAAUUGCGCUAAAAUGUUUGGUCUUUUCUGACUUUAAUUGUUGAUAAUUCAAUUUUAUCUUUAAUUAAAAACCUUGAGUAUACGCAUGAUGAUACAAUCCAAGUAGACAAGAUGAUGACCAACUACUCAAGAGACCAUUCACACUAUGAGCAGUCAUCUCAACAAUCAAGUCAAGACCCUACAAGAUCUAACGGACCUCUCCAGAGGAAGAACUGGCAUAAACCAGAACACCAAUUGUUCUUUCUUCAGGUCUUCUUAAAAAUUAAAACAUGUUGUAAAUAAUUUGGGCUCUCUUUAGGGGUCCAAAUAGCAAGAUAGGCUAGAGUACACUACAAGAAAUUGUUCAUUUACAUACCGAUUAUUACAUACGGAUAUUUAUGUACAAAUUUAAUUCAGUAUGCAAAUAGACAUUACAUACGGAUUUUUCUGUAUGUAAGAAUAAAAGUGAUUACAUACAAAUUUUUCCAAGCACGUAGGUGAAAAAGACGGUGAGAGAGAGAAAGGUCGCGAGAGAAAAAGAGAUGAGAGAGAGAGAAUGGUCGCAAGGAAGCCGCGAAGGACUUUCUGAGGAGGGAGGAGUGCGGGAGGAGAAGUGAAGGGCUCAAGCAACCUCGCUCAGGUGGCAAUUGCACAACCUUUUUCUUUUCCAACUUUUCGGGGAGUCAUAGAGAACUGGACAUGUUUAAGGUUUUUCAAAAAUGGGCAAGGGUGAAAUAAGUGUGUAUCUCACGAAGGCGUAAUAGGUGGGACAAAAGGUUCGGGUUUGUGCGGUUCUUUGAUGUCACAAAUGUGACAAGACUGGAAAGGGAGCUAGACCAAAUAUAUAUAGGAAAUAUGAAGUUGUAUGUCAAUAUUCCUAGGUACAGUAGACCUGUACUUGAUCUUGCAUCUGGCCCAUCUAGAGAGGUUAAAAGGCUUUAUCAUCCUAAGCCGACUUUUGACAAGACAGAGGAGGUGAGAAUGGAUAAGAAUGGAAAUGAGGGUUGUUAGUGGCGGUUUGUAAGAAAUGAACAAGGAAAAUGGAAAGAGAUCUUGUAAUCGAAAUACAGGUUGGAUACAAACUGUAGUCAAGUUCAUAUGAAUUUCCAGUCAUGGUGGUGGAGAGAUCUUUCCAAAAUUUGUUGUGGUUGGUUCCAAGAAGGUUUACUAUGGAAAGUUGGUUCCGGGGAUAAAUUUAGAUUUUGGGAGGACAAUUGGAUUGGUGGUAGCCAUAUCCUCAGUUCGAUGUAUCCUAGACUUUAUGCUCUAUCUUUGGAUCAGGGGAGGACAGUGGGAGAGGUAGGUGUUUGGGCUGAGUCAACAUGGAAUUGGCGGUUAAGAUGGAUAAGAGUCAAGUUUGUUUGGGAAGUUGUACAAGAGGAAGAAAUGGUUAGUAAAAUCUCUAUGUGGACAGGACAUACAGGUUUGGGGUGAGGAUAUUUCAGGGGAGUUCUCUGUGAGAUCAGCUUAUGAGUGUCUUGCAGCGCGAAACCCAGGAGAGAACCACAAAUUUUUCAAUCAGUUUUGGCAAGCUAAAUCUUUCCCUAAUGUUCGCCCUACUACAUGAAGGAUUCUAUUGAAUAAAAUGCCAACAAGGAGUACUUUGAUUAGGAGAGGGGUGGUUGUUAAUUCUAUUGCGUGCGAGAUGUGCCAAGAUUUGGAAGAGACGACUCAACACCUUUUCUUAGAUGUACAAUUGCUCAAAGGGUAUGAUCAGUGUGUUAUAGAUGGUUAGGUAUCCUGUUUGUGCAAAAUAAGGAUUUGAAGACUCACUUUGAAAAUUUCUACUUGGGUCAUAUGAGUGGUAAGCAUAAUCUGAUUUGGAAGGGUAUAUGGAUGGCAUUUGUGAGGGUCAUCUGGGAACAAAGGAACUCUGUCAUCUUUAAGCAAGGAAAACCUGAUGCAAAAGAAAUCUUUCAUUUAGCACAACUUAGAGCAUGGCUAUGGUUGAAACACAGGGUACAAUUGUUCAAGUACUCGUUCUCAGAUUGGCACUUGAAUUUGGAGCAAUGCAUUAAAAACUACAAGUAAUAUAGAAGGUUUGUAGCAGGUUGGAAAGGGGCUUAAUAGGUGUUGUCGGGGUUAUGCUUUGGAUAAUCUCCUAGUUUUAAACAUGCUUUCCUGCAUUGGCAACUGCUAUGCCUCUGGAUGCAUGAAAAAGAAAGGUUUCUUGACAGUAGCAGGCUUGCUUUACUACUACUAGGAUGCUCUUUGGUGUUAAUAUCAAUAUUAUUAUUACAAUUAUUAUUUAUGCCUAUUUUUAUUAAUGUUAGAAACAAACUACAGUGGGUGGGACUCGAAGUCAAGUUCCUUGAGUGACCAAAGAAGCUUUAAUUACUACACCAGACAAGUUCUUUUGUCAUAUUAUGAUUUUUAUUAUACUUCAAGUGGCGGUCCUCCUCACUUAUCUUGGAGAAUCCACACUCCAAGUGGCGUGUUCACUCUUGUCCAUCAUCAUAAGCUUUCUUUCCUUCAUCUCUUUUUCCAUUUUCUAUUACACCAUUGUUCAUUGUGUUUAUGUUCUUGUUUUGUUCUUCCAUUUUCAAUUCGGUUCCAUUCAUCUUAAUUGUUUCUUCUUUUAUAUCUUUCAAUUCUGCAACUGUACAUCAUCUUCACUAUAUAUUGUGUUUUUCCUUUUGCCUUUGGAAGUGAAUCUUCACACUUACUUAACCACUUGGUUAAGUUUGUGUCAUGUGGGGAUCUUCCCUAGGUCUCACCUUAUCAUUGCUAAAAUCCAAAUCAUAAACAAAGUGUCACCCUUAAAAUGGACAAAUCUAAAAUAAACUCAUAUCACAUGAAGACGAGUAAGGUACUACUGAAUAAUUAGUGGAAUGAGAUUUGAUUGUCUUUGAGUGACACAUGUUUGGUCAAUUCAAUUUUUUUUAGAUGAUUGAAUGAAUGAUAUAUUUACCAACUAAUGAAGAAUUCAUUGUUGGAAAGGUUGAGAGUCAACCUACUUCCUUUCACUAUUUUAAUCUCUACUCUGCACAAUAAUCUCAAUCUCGCUUUUACUUUAUUGUUAUUGUUAACUUUUAUUGUCUAUGAAUAGAUAUGAACACUAAUUUACUGAUUUCACUAUUGGAUUCAUUGGGAGAUGACGUGGAGUCAUCUGACCUUAUCUAUACUAUCAUCUGUUUGGUGUUAGACGACCUAGCAUUGUGGUAGACAAUUUUCACUUAAAUCAUUUUAAUUUGUUUUUCAAAUGACAACUAUCAAGCAUAUAACUAACUUGUUGUUGUUCAUAGAGAAAUUGUCAAUAUAAUUUAUGUGAUUAUUGCUUCAUUUCCCCUUAAAUUCCCGAGAAUAACACAAAAUUGGGAAUAAAUCGUUCAUAUUCAUCUUAUAAUCCAAAAAACAUGUAAAAAGGUUAAAAAUUCUAAAUUAAAAGUUGAAUUAUAACUAUUAUAUCAAUUAAAGUUUAUAAGUGUUUGUCUUUUUGUAUGAAAUAUUUCACUUAUCAUUCAAUAGGUUGAUAACACGAAAUAACAAGCUAAUUUCAGUUACAGUAUAAAUCAACAACUUGAAACAAAUUGACUUUUCGAAAUAACUUGUUGAUUUUACUAAACAUAAAAAGAACAACUUUAAAAACAAAAAACUUUUUAAAAGAAAGAAUAUUUUGAAAACAUAGUUUAUCUUUACAAAACAGAAUAGACUAGAUGAGAAAAAAAACAAAAACGGUUGAAAAGCUUAAGUGAUUUUAAUUUGUUGAUGCGAUAAAUCAAUUAGUUAAAUAUACUUAUAUAGUCCAAAUGAACUUCCUAAAGACAAUUUUUAACAUAUUAAUAUCUCAGACAACAAGUUGAAAAACAAAACGGAUUUUAAAGCAAACUCUUUAAAAAACAAUCUUGGAGCAGACUUGGAUCAUAAUGCAUGAUUAAGAAGAAAUAACAAAAGUACAUCAAAAUAUACCUAGACACACACAUAAUCUGUGUCAUUCAAUAUUCAGUGUAGGAUUUGGAAACAUCAAAUAAAGGUUUGACUUAAACUUCAAGGUCUACAGAAAGAUCAUAUCAGGACAUAAGAUAGGGUACUUUCUCCAUCUAGCUUUGUGAUGUCAAGGAAUAAUAUCUUCAUCCAUGAAUGUGAUAGAUGGGAGGGAAUGAGGUGGUAACAAAAUUACCAAAUUUAUACUUAGGAGAUUUUUUUUCCCUUGUUGAGCUUGAAUUGUUUCUCCCAGCUAAUCCUCCUAUUGUAGUGUUGAUUGUUCCUUUGACAUCAUCAGUGUUUUGUUGAGGUUGUUUCCUCCAUUCCUGCUCAAGUUAUGGUGUCACCCGAUCCUGGUGAUUUCCCCUACCUCAGCUAUGGAAACCACCACAUAAAACUUUGCCUCGAUCUUCCCUCCAAAUCCCUCAUCCCCAACCCCAACUUGGUUUCUCAUGCUACACAAAACGUCCCAAGGCCCUUAUUACACUAUAUUUUUUUUAUCAAGUCUCGCAUCUCAUGACUGUAACAUCCCUAUUUUAUUAUAACUAAUAACCAUAAUUUGUUUGAAAUAUCAAAAUAAAUAUAUAAACAUAAUACAAAUAUGUUUACAACUCUUUCAUAUAGUGUUUCAAAAUAUAUCCCUCUUCAUAUGGACUUUAAAUAUUUACAUAAAAUUAAAACAAAUACUCAAAAGAAAUAAACAUUUCCAAAAUCCAGCUUCUCACUAAAGAGCUUUAUCACUUUUAACAUCAUCUGCUCCCGUGUAAAUACAUGACCAUCACAGAUUAAAGACAACAAGACAGAACAAACAAGUUAAUCUAGUUAUUUUUAAAAAUUAUAAUAUAAAUAUAAAAUUAAACAUCCACAUAAAGCCAUCAAUUCUCAUGCAUUUCCACAUAAAGUGUCUAUCAUAAUUCACAAUUCAUCUUUCUCAUGUCAGACUUCUACUGACUCACAACACAUAUAUACUUGACUCUACUUCCGGAAGACUCGUGUAUUGAAAUUAACAUCCUGAGACCUACACCUGUCACAAAAUUCGCUAUGAAACCACACAACCAUGCACAUAAACAUCUCAAUAUCUCAUCAUCUCAUAUGGCAGGGUAAAUUCAUAUGACCUGAAAGACUAGAUUAUAUUUCAAACCGUAGACAAAGUCAUAUGAACUUCCUUCGACUCUCACCAACUAAAUGACUUCAUCUAUGUGAUUCCAUUAUAUCAAUAGAGUCAGGAUCAUCUCAUUAACGAGACCUAACAAAUCAAUACACUCUAAUAAUAAUCUCAACAUGGUAUUUCCUUUCCUGAAAAUACUAUGUUUUGAUCACACUUUCACAUCAUUGCAUACUUCAUUUAACCAAUACAUUAUUCAAUCACAUCACAUUUUAAACACUCCAAAUAUAUCUAAAAAUUCACUUAACAAUAAUAAGUAAUAAUAAACUAUGCUAAAUAAUAAUAAUAGUAAUUUUUUUUAUAAAUGGCUUGAGCGAAAAAAAUUUGAGUUUGAGUGAAAAUGAACCAACAUGCACCCAGGAUUUUUGGCUUGAGCGAAAAAAUUUUGGUGUGAGCGAGAAUGAACCAGUGUGCACCCAGGAUUUUCGACUUGAGCAAAAAAAAUUUGGUUUGAGUGAAAAUGGACCAGUGGGCACUUCAGAAUUUCCCCAUUUUUGCUUGAACGAAAUUUCAUCUCGUUUGAGUGAAAAUGGACUAGAAAGUACCUCAAAAAUUACCCAUGUUUGCUUGAACGACGGAAAUGGACGCGAGAGCACCUCAUAUUUUCAUUCAAAUUGUUAUUUUAUCAAAUAUACUAAACCAAAGUAACAAUUUCCCUGUUAGAGUUGGAUAAUUACCCUAAAUCAAAAUUACGCAACCAAUACUCAGCAACAUUAUCCUUUAAGUAAUACAUCAAACUAUUUAAAUAUAUUCAUUUACUUAUUCAAAUAAAAACAAUAUAGUUUUAUAACAUCUACCAUAUCUAAAAUUUCACAUUCUAAUCUCAAUCAAAUUCUAAUAUGCUCAAAACAACAAAUCCUGCAAGAAAUUUUGAUAAUGGUGACCACGUCACUGCCACAUCCAGAUCUUCUAGCAUAGGGUUCUAUUGGAAAUUUAAAACUAGCUUCCCUUACUUGAACUUGAGAAAAUGCUCACUAAGAGCUCCAAAUCCUAUAAUUGUUCAAGGGUAGCUUAACAUGCACCACAAAGUUCUGAUAAAAAAUCUAACUAUAUCAUUAGGACCCUGAACUAACAAAGACCAAUUCUGAAGAUUAAAGCAUCACAUGCAAGCUUAAACUAAAGGAAAAUCUAACCAAAUUAAAACUAACUCAAAGGAAAAUGAGUUAAAAUGAGCUAGUGCCUGUGUUCCCACUAAUAUGUAUAAAAUAUAUUAAUAAUAAUAAGUAUAAAUUAUAUUAAUAAUAAUAUGUAUAAAUUAUAUUAAUAAUAAUAUGUAUAAAUUAUAUUAAUAAUAAUAAGUAUAAAUUAUAUUAAUAAUAAUAAGUAUAAAUUAUAUUAAUAAUAAUAAGUAUAAAUUNNNNNNNNNNNNNNNNNNNNNNNNNNNNNNNNNNNNNNNNNNNNNNNNNNNNNNNNNNNNNNNNNNNNNNNNNNNNNNNNNNNNNNNNNNNNNNNNNNNNNNNNNNNNNNNNNNNNNNNNNNACAUAUUAUUAUUAAUAUAAUUUACACAUAUUAUUAUUAAUAUAAUUUAUACUUAUUAUUAUUAAUAUAUUUUAUACAUAUUAGUGGGAACACAGGCACUAGCUCAUUUUAACUCAUUUUCCUUUGAGUUAGUUUUAAUUUGGUUAGAUUUUCCUUUAGUUUAAGCUUGCAUGUGAUGCUUUAAUCUUCAGAAUUGGUCUUUGUUAGUUCAGGGUCCUAAUGAUAUAGUUAGAUUUUUUAUCAGAACUUUGUGGUGCAUGUUAAGCUACCCUUGAACAAUUAUUAAUCAUAAUAAGUAUAAUAAAAAUGGUAAUAUGACCAAAGAACUUGUCUGGUUUAGUGGUUGAUGCUUCCUUGGUCUCUAAAGGGUCUUGGGUUCGAUUCCUGCCUACUAAAGUAGUUUGCUUCCAAUAUUAAUUAGGGACUUGAGCUUUGCUAUGAUCCAAAGAACUGAUCAAUAGGGUUCUGGUGUACCGUGAUUCGAGGUUUUUUCUAUCCCUGUUUAGGUUCUUGUAAUUGUUCAAAUUACUCUCUGAAAAUUGUUGUAAAAUUCUGUAAAAUCAGUGUGAUUCUGGCUUAAGGUGUUGGUUGUGUGCAAAAAGGGUGAGUAGGCUUUGUGGGAUUAAAAGUCACCUCUUUGUGUGGUGUAUGUGUAAUCUGUAAUUGGUUGCAUAAUGAAAUACUCAGUGGUUUGACUGAGGAAUGGAUGUAGCUCUUGGAUAGAGUGAACAAGUAUAAACCUUGUGUGUAAUUCUCUCUAUCUCUUCUCUCCAUAUCUGUUUGAUAUUUUCCACUGUCAUAAACAACUAGUUGAAUCGUAAUUUUAACCGAUUAUAAUUAUGUUAUCUGUUUCUGUUUGGUAAUUUGAUUGGCUUUCUGAAUUGCUUUUCUGAGUUGAUUGUUAAGGUUUCAUUCUGAACAAAGUAUUUGUGAAAAUCUUUUGGAAACAAUUCACCCCCCCCUCUUGUUAUAGCCAUCAAUCCUAACAGAACAUGUGUGAUGAGCAUAUAUUUAUUCACACUCAAUAGCUUUAAUCAUGGAUUAUUGGACUAUAAUAAUAAAUAAAUCCGUUGUUUUAAUUAAUAUUCAUAUAAUUGGGUUUAUUAGGGCCUUAACUAUUAUCUUUGGUAAUUUUGUGUUUUUAGGGUAAAUGAUUUGAAACAUCUACCUUUGUGAAUAAAUAUACCCUAAACCCUAAACAUCUACCCUAAACCCUAAACCCUAAACCCUAAACCCAAAUAUGUAAAAGUCCAAGUUGCUUUUCUGAAUCAAAACAUAAAACAAAUUCUGAGGAGAAGAAAGAGAAAAAUAAAAUCUACAAUGUCUCAAAAACAGAAUUGGAAGCAAAUCUUCUGCAAAAUACAAGAAUUCUGGAAAGAUGGAAACUUGGAAACUGUUAACAAAAUAUAAACUGCAAUAUUUUCCCAAUAUCCUUGGAACAGAAAAGUCUAUAAAAGGACACAAGCAUCAAGGAGAAAGGGUAGAGCUUCAUAGGGUUUUCUUAGUUUAUUUUUCUCUUAGUAAUUCUUUUGUUUUGCCUCCGCAUGGAAGGCUAAACCUUUUUUGUUGAUUCCUUUGUAAUUUCCCAUUGAGUUCUGAGGUUUUGUUCAAUAAAAGUUUUGAUUUUUAAUUCUCUAUAGAAGUUGUUUUUAUUGUCUAAUCUCCUGGAAAAUUGGUUUUUGUGAGAGGUUGUAACGCAUGAUUGAGAGUCUUCCUUGUCUUAAACUUUGGUUUCUUAGUUAGUUCGCAUUGUUCUGAUUAAUUUCUUGGGCGCAUGAUUCAAGAGAGAGGAGGUAAGCAUUCCCAUGGAGUAUACGCAUGGAACAAAGUGGGUAUUGAUUAAACCAGUAGACGCAUAUUUUACUGGUGAGUUUCAGUUGAAUUAGAUUGGCGAAUGUUCAACCUGGUUUAACUAUGUUGGAUGAUUGAGAAAAGAUUAAUCUUUAGAGAACCUAUGAAGAAUUCAAUGGUGGAAGAACUUGGGGAUCAACUUCUUUUUAUUUUCUAUUUCAAUCUCUUUUACAUUUUCUGGAUAAUUAUCUUAUUUAUUACUAACUUUUCAUUACUUGUAGAUAGAUUUUGAAUUCGGUUAACUGAAUCACUAUUGGAUUCGUUGGGAGACGACUUGGGGUCAUCUGGUCACAAUUAUACUAUCAUCUCUCUAGUGUUAGACAAGUCUACGCUAGAUUUAUAUUAAUUUGAUAGCAAAGCGAAAGCUAUCAAAUUUGGCGCCGUUGCCGGGGAAUUCAAUUUGAUUUUGGUUAUUAGGUUUUUCUUUUUAUCUGUAUAUUUUUUUUUAUUUUCCUAAUUUUAUUUUUUGCAUAUUUAAAUUUUUUUUUCUUCUUAUUAGUUUUUAUUUAUUUAGUAUACUCUAAAAAACUAAAAAAAUAUAAUAUUCAACAUUUUUUUAUAAACGAAAAAAAAUUAAAAAACGAAAAAAUAAAAAUUAAAAAAAUAUAAUAUUCAGGAUAUUUUUUUUAUCUCUUAUAUCUUAUCUUUAUUUUAUUUUUAUUUAUUUUUAUUAUCUUUCUUUAUAUCUUUUAUCUUUAUUUUGUUUAGAUUUUUUUUAUUUUAUCUCAUAUAUCUUUUAUCUUUAUUUUUUGUUUUGAUUUGUUUUGAUUUUAUUCUUUUAUAUCUUUUAUCUUUAUCUUAUUUUGCCUUUAUUUUAUAUCUUUUCUGUUUUUAGUUAUUUUUUUUAUUUUGUUUUGUCAUCUUUAUUUAUUUCUAUUUUUGUUUACUCUUUUUAUUUUCUAUAUUUUAUUUAUUUAUUUAUUUAUUUUAACAUACUUUUUUUUCUCUAACUAUUUUUUUUAAGCAUUAAGUGUAGCAUUUGCAUUAGUUUUGUUUUUUAGGAUCUUGCAUUUAGGGUAGACACUUCAGUUGCUAUUCUUUGAUUUUUUAAUAUUGAAAGCAAUUUAGGGAAGACUCUGGCUAGGAAAGACUUGGUUUCUAAGUUUAUCCACUUGUGACUCACCUCUCUUUCCUGGGAGUUUACUUGGUUUGCUUUUCAAUUUAAAAAAAAAAAAGAGAGAGUUUGCUCUAAGGCGUGUAAUAGGUGUUGGUGUCCAUAAUAUACAUCCCUUGUUUUCAAUUCUAAAAUGGAACGGAGAUUUGCUGAACAAAUUUACAAUUAUGAUAUUCAUUAUGAGCCAUAUUUUCAACAACCUCAACAUUUUAAUCCAUAUUGUCAGCAGCCUUAUGAGCAACCUCAACAACAACCAUAUUAUCAACAAUACUAUUUUGAUGAAAUUGAAACACCUUUUCAACCAUUUUUGCAAACUGAUAAUAUUACUCAUAAUCUUGAAGAGUCAUCUUUAGAGGAGCUGGUGAGACAAUUAAUGGUAAAUACAAUGAAAUCUUAGCAAAACAUAGAUGCUACUCUAUCAAAAUUAGAAGAGAAAGUUGGUCAGUUGGCUAGACAAUUUGAAGAUAUUUCUAACAAAAGUUUGAAUUCACAUCAUGAUCCUAAUUUAGAUAUAGAAAAUUUUUCCAACUUUGAUACAAGCUAUACUUGUGAUCCUGAUAUAUGUGUUGAGAUUAAUUUUGCCAUGCCUCCAGUUUCCAUUUCAUUUGCAAGAAUAAAACCUUAUCCAGACACUCCCGAAGUGCAUAUGACUACUGAAGACACAAAGGAUUUUGAUGAUACAUGUGCAACAUGUUCUGUGAUGAACAAAUGCAUAUCCUCUGAUGAUAUAAUUUGCAGUGCAAACACUGUUGAUUUGCAGGUUGUUAGGAUCUCUGAACCAUUACCAACUAAUGUCUAACCUCCACUGAUGGAGGAAAAUUCAUUGCUUAAUCAAGAGGCAUUAGACUCUACGACACAUGCUAAUAAAAAUCAUUUUGUGCAUCAUAUAAACACUGAGGAUGAAAAUGUGCUUGAACUUUUAGGAGAUUUUAACUUCUCCAAUCCAGUUGAAUGUACAGAGGAUGAGAUAGACGAGUUCUUAAAAUGCACUAACCCUUGUGAUGCAUGUCUUGAUACAAAAGUUGUUGAUGUUGUUAUACUUGUUGAAUCUACUAAAAAAGAUUACGCACUAGCAGAUGGCUCUAACAGGGUUUUGGAGGUAAUACAAGAGGAGGAAGAGUUGACAUUGGCCAUCUUUCAGGUAGAUGCUGCUAGUGGAGAAGAAGAUGAUAUUAUUCUUCAAUCCUUGAAGCUUCAAAGAAUACAACCUCCAUUAUUUAAGGUGAAGCCCAUAUCACUCAUUCCAUAAUCUCCAUUGGUUACACCUUCUACCAUAAUUGGAACAUUUGAAAGCAGCCUUUACCAGCCACCACCACCUCCUAACUUACAUUUCAUUCUAUCUCCCACCCCAACUAGACUGUCUACCCUAGCUAGACUGUCUAGCCUUAGACCACUACCCUUAGAUGACCCCCAAAAAGCUAACCAUAUCAGAUCGUCUAUGAUGAAUAUAUUUUUGUCUUCCAUCUAUACUCUAGAAAGUACCAUCAUCCAUUCAUGGAAGAAACUGUACCAUUUCACACGCCCUCCAAACCUACCCGAGUUCCAUCCACUAUUUCAAGGCUUCUUCAUCAUAAUAUUUUUGUUACAUAGUUUACCAAGGUACUGCAUGCUCUGGUUAGAAGAUCCAGUUGAUAGUGUUUCUACACCACUAUGGAUGAAAAGUCUUGGUUUGUACUGUAGAGGGGAUGGUUGAAACAACUGCAACUGCCACUUCCCUCAAGCUAAAUGAGGGAGUACUUCUUCUCGCACUUUUAUCGUACACAUUUAUUUAUUGAUUUUACAUUGAGGACAAUGUGUGAUUUAAGUGUGGGGGAGGAGAAUCAUAGUUUAGGAUUUAUCUUUUGUGUUUUUUUGUUUGAAUUUCUUUUUGCUUCUGUUAAAAUAAAUCAGCUUUUUAGGAUGGUCUAAUGGCUGACAUGUUUUAUAAUUCUUGAAAAUCUUGGCUUCUUGAUAUUUUUGUUUGGAUUUUCUUAAAAAUUGAUAAAUAAGUUAUUAUGAGAAAUUUUGGGUUGAAUCUUUUGAUAAAUUGUCCCUAGUGAGUUUUUGAGCCUUAAUUAAUAUAUCAUUUAAUUUAUUUAUUUUUAGUGUGUUUUCACUCAUGUUUGCUUAUACUCUAGAACUUAGCUUGAUUCUUUGUUUCACAACUGUGAUUUACAUGCAUGAACUGAUAUGAUAGAGACAUUCUUUGUGUAAAUUAACCCACUAGCCAUAUUAGCCUACCUUUAUGAUAAUCAAUUUGUUAGCCCCUGAGCCUAUAGCCUAUUUCUUGUUUUUAACCCUCAUUACAAGACUCAAAACAGAAAAACCAUGAUUGUCCCUACCUUAGAAGAUAAAGGAGCUUUGAAAUUAUUUGGGAAUAGGUUUUUGAAUAAGUGUAGAGGUGUAUCUCAUUUUCAUAAUUUACCUCUUCAGUUUUAAAGAAAACAAAGAAAAAAAGAAAAUGGAUAGAAAAACAAAGGAAUACAACAAGAAAAAGAAAAGCAAAGCAAAAAAGAAAAUAAGAGUGGAUCCUCUAAUACAUUGGAUUGACUGUCUAUUAUAUGAAAAAAAAUGAUAUCUUGAAAUAAAAAGAGGAGUUGAAUUGUCAUAAUACUUAUACUUAUUUUUAGACCUAUCGUCCAUUGCUCCUUUGUUUUUCUAUGGUUUUUAAGCCUAUUUUCCCACUUUUACCUACCUUUACCUUAGCCUCAUUAUAUCCCUUAUGAAGACCUCUUGAUCUUUGAUUGCAUGUUUUUUUCGAUUGUUGUGAAUAUUAGAGUCUUGUUAAGCAUAUGGUAGUGUUUGUUUGCAUGAGUGUUGAGUGUAAAUACAAACCCUAAACACUUGAGAGUUGGAGAGUGUCCAAUGAAGUUUUGUCAAUUUUGAUUCAACCUUUGAUUUUAAUUACCUGCUUGUAUAUUAAAAUAUAAGAAUUUCCAUUCACAUUUUUCUUGAUUCCUUGAUUUCUUAAAAUUAUAUCUUGUCUUUCAUUAUGAAUUCUUAGAAUUUUCUAUUUUGUUAUUUGCACUGUUUUUCUUUUCUUUUUAAACCUUAGAGUAUUUUGCCCAGGAGUGCAAAAGGAUAAGUGUGGUGGUAUUUGAUGAGCAUAUAUUUAUUUACACUCAAUAACUUUAAUCAUGGAUUAUUGAACUAUAAUAAUAAAUAAAUUUGUUAUUUUAAUUAAUAUUCAUAUAAUUGGGUUUAUUUGGGCCUUAACUAUUAUCUUUGGUAAUUUUGUGUUUUUAGGGUAAAUGAUUUGAAGCAUCUACCUUUGUGAAUGAGUCAAAUAUGUAAAAGUCCAAGUUACUUCUUUGAAUCAAAACAGAAAACAAAUUUUGAGGAGAAGAAAGAGAAAAAUAAAAUCUAUAAUGUCUCAAAAACAGAAUUGAAAGCAAAUCUUCUGCAAAAUACAAGAAUUCUGGAAAGAUGGAAACUUGGAAACUGUUAACAAAAUAUAAACUGCAAUAUUUUCCCAAUAUCCUUGGAGCAGAAAAGUCUAUAAAAGGACACAAGUAUCAAGGAGAAAGGGGAGAGCUUCAUAGGAUUUUCUUAGUUUAUUUUUCUCUUAGUAAUUCUUUUGUUUUGCCUCCGCAUGGAAGGCUAAACCUUUUUUGUUGAUUCCUUUGUAAUUUUCCAUUGAGUUCUGAGGUUUUGUUCAAUAAAAGUUUUGAUUUUUAAUUCUCUAUAAAAGUUGUUUUUAUUGUCUAAUCUCCUGGAAAACUGGUUUUUGUGAGAGGUUGUAACGCAUGAUUGAGAGUCUUCCUUGUCUUAAACUUUGGUUUCUUAGUUAGUUCGCAUUGUUCUGAUUAAUUUCUUGGGCGCAUGAUUCAAGAGAGAGGAGGUAAGCAUUCCCAUGGAGUAUACGCAUGGAACAAAGUGGGUAUUGAUUAAACCAGUAGACGCAUAUUUUACUGGUGAGUUUCAGUUGAAUAGAUUGGCGCAUGUUCAAUCUGGUUUAACUCUGUUGGAGGAUUGAGAAAAGAUUAAUCUUUAGAGAACCUGUGAAGAAUUCAAUGGUGGAAGAAAUUGGAGAUCAACUUCUUUUUAUUUUCUAUUUCAAUCUCUUUUAUAUUUUCUGCAUAACUAUCUUACCCCUUUUUUAUUAUUGUUGUUAUUACUAACUUUUCAUUACUUGUAGAUAGAUUUUGAAUUCGGUUAACUGAAUCACUAUUGGAUUUGUUGGGAGACGACUUGGGGUCAUCUAGCCACAAUUAUACAAUCAUCUCUCUAGUGUUAGACAAGUCUACACUAGAUUCAUAUUAAUUUGACAGCAAAACGACAACUAUCAAUGUGCAUAUCCACAACUAAAUGUAGGUCGAGGAUAUGUAUAGAUUUGCAUAAAGCUGAGUUUUGACUCCAAGAUUUGGUUGUCGAAUUUUGCUAAAGAAGGGAGAUUUAUCUCUAGAAAUUAUAAGUAUAUAACUAAGUAUGAAAACUAAGUAAGCAGUGUGUGUGAUUGAUAUAUAUUUAUAAACAUUUUUUAGUUUGGACUGAAAGAUUAUAAAAAUAUUUAAAAUAAAUAAGAAAUACUAUUAAUUAUUAAAUAUUUAUCAUUUAAUCAAUUAUUAUUAUAUAAAUAUUCAAACUAUACGAUUACAUCUAAUUUAAAUGAGUUAUAUUUUUUAAUUUAUUAUUGUAUAUCUUAGAUAUGGUCACAAAAAAUAAUAAUGUUGUAACAGAACUUGAUGAAAUGUUUUUUCUAAUCUUCUUAGUUUUUUAAACUAUACGGUCUAUAAAUUGAUUAUAGUGUAAAAAAAUUCUAAAUUAAAAGUUGUAUAAAGAAGUGAAUUUCAAAUCUAACUCAACUUUAUAAAACUCACUAAUUUAUAUGGUGAAAUUAAUAACUAUUUAUAUAUUAUAAGGGGGAUUCCUAACAAAUUCAAUAAAAUAUAUAUAAAUAUUGAGGAACAGAUACAACACUCACACAUCGUCGUGUUUGUAGAGUGAGGAAUUGUCAACUUCACUAUGGAGGAGGUAGGGAAACAAGUGUAACGUAGGUACUUUUGGAUGUAUGCCAAACUCGCUUCUAGGGUUGGAGAUGUCAUUAUGCGAGCAAGGACGUGUUUGCAGGAAAAAAUGCCUCUAGUGUUGAGGAUGUAAUACUGAAUAAUACAACAAAAGUAUAUUAACAAUUGCAUAGGACAUCCACCGGUUUACAAUAGCGUUUCUUGUUCAAAAUUUCAUUUUUUACAACAAAUUACAAAAACAUUCGCCGUUUCAUCAAUCUAUUGAUAUCAUUUUGGACAAUAUUAACAUAUAUAUUUAAGGGAAAGAAAAGAAGAGGAAGUUUCCUCUAUUUAUCAAGAUAUUAACCAUUUUGUACAACAACUCAUUCACAUAGAUUAAACCGGAAAAAAGAAAAAGAAAAAGAAAGGCUUCUAAAAAACUUGUCGUUUCACCUACAAGAUUCAAGAGAAAAAGUUGUUUUUAUCAGAAAAAACAAAGCGAGCCAUUAUUCAAGCCGAGGACUCAAGCCCUAACUCCAUCGAGUCACCGCUACU